CGACCCACCCCCUCCUCCUCCACCUCAACCUCGACAAACCCCUAGCCGUCAGGUUGUAGUCAGACAACCGGCGAAACAGCCGUCACCUCCACGUCAGCAACAACCUCCUUCGCCUCCACGUCAGCAACGACCUCCUUCGCCUCCACGUCAGCCUCCUUCCCCACCACGUCAGCAAACUCCUCCACCUCCACCUACUCAGGAGCGGUUCCCGUAUCAUUCACCGCCGAGCCGCCACAUGUCACCACCGACCCCACCAAAAGUUAAGUCUCCGUCACCGCCACCUCCUCGGUCGUCGUACACACCGCCACCAUCUCCCAAGGAGGUUCAAGAAGCCUUUCCACCGCGAAAACCAACUUCACCACCGAGUCCAGCUCAUUCGACUAGGUCAACAAAAUCUGAACAAGAGAGUUUUCGAAAGGUACCAUCACCGAGACCACUCUCUCCAUACUCUCUCCCACCUCCUCAGUUACAUUCCGAACGCCAAACCACUCAGAAAAACAUUCUCACAUCCGAGAAAACAAGCCAACUCCAAGAACCAAACCAUCAUAAUCAGAGCCAUAACCAUAAUCAUAACCAUCAAGGCAACAACACCAAUAAGACUCAUCAUAAGCAACCUUUGUCUGAUUCCGAAAACAUAAUGGGCACACGAGCCAUCACCAUUGCGGGGCAAAACAAAGGUGCUGUAAUGGAGAUCCUACGAUCUCCUUCAAGCAACAAAACCGGAGGAGCAGGACCACAUUCCUCUAGGGGUUUCCACGGCACUGGAGAGAAGGGACGGCGACUUCAAAGCAGUAGUAGCAGCAGCAGCAGUGAUGAAGGAGAAGGGAAAAAGAAAACUACAAAGAACCCUAAUAAUAAUGCCAAUAAUAAUAAUCUCCCGAUGAAAGCAUUUAUGAACAGUAACGUUCAGAUGAUAAACAACUCUCUUGUUUACAACUCGAUGGCUACUCAUCACGAUCCCGGUGUUCAUCUUAGAAUCUCCCGUAAACCUGCCUCUGGCAAUGGUUUCGACGUGAAGGAUUACGGUAAUAAUGACGGCGGAUACACCAACUGUGAAAAUAAAAUUUAUUUCUGAAAAGGAAAUGAAAACCUAAAAAAAAAACGUUAAGGGUUUUGGGGUUUUAUUGCAAUAUAUUCAGUUUUAUUUUAAAAAAUGAGAAAAAAGAAUAAGAACAAAAUGAGUGGGGUUAGUGGUUUAUGAUUAUUCUCUCUAAGCUUUUUAUAACCUUCUCACUCAUAUUGAGGCUUUGAUCCGUUUAUUGAAACGGAGUAUAUUAUUAUAUAACUUUGUAUCGUUCUUUUGCCAAACAAUAAUUAUGAAAUCGUUUAUCAUAUGAUAACUGUCGGAUAGGCACAUAUUAUUAUCAAUUACCAACUUUUUUAUUUUUUGAUCAAACAACUUUUCUUUCUAAGGAUAAAAUCCACCCAAUGAUGCGUCAAUGAUAAAAGAGAUUUCUAAUUUGAAAAUCUUUCUUGCGUUAUUGGGCCUGAUGAGAAAAGUCUCAUAAGUUUAAACAAAAUAAACAAUGAUGCUUCAAUUGUUUUGAGAAAAAUAAAACGUGAAGAACUUCACCCACCUACCUGAGGUGGCUGACCACUUUGAGCAUAUUCUUCACGUUUCACCAUGGUAGGUGCCCUUUCUUUCAACUCCUUAAACUAGCUCUAGCUGUAAAUAAAUACGUUAUAGCCUUAUAGGUAAGGUAUUGAAGAAGGGUUAAAAUAUAAGUUGCUUCGUUCCUCGUCCAUCUUCAAGAGCUGAUAAUAAACUAUUUAUUUACCCUCUUCUCUUACAGUUCCGAAACAAAAACAAGACUGUAAUUUUAUUAGAAAAAUCAAGAAAUAACAAUAUUCAAGAACUUCACAACUUACAAUAUAAACAGAAGGCGUGAGGUCUAAGAAGUUGCGCUCUGUUGUAUAUUGGUUCGUGCUCGUAGAAGUUUCCCUUUACCAUCUUGCUUUCUUGAUUUUGUUUCAGUCCAAUUAAACUUUAUAUAAAGGUCCUCUGUUUUCAGGUUUAUUACUCGCCGGCAAGAGCAUCAGAAAGUAAUCAAUGGCCAAGCUUAUCUCGUUUCAUGAUGUGGCUAAACAUAAAUGCAAGAAUGAUUGUUGGAUUCUCAUCCAUGGAAAGGUCUAAACCAAAACUAAAUUCUCCAAAUCCUCUAUUUUUAGUCAUCUACCAUAUUUAUAUUUUUAGUCAUCUAUCAUGCAUAUUUAUAAAACAAGUGAAUCCACAGGUUUAUGACGUCAGCAGUUUCAUAGACGAACAUCCCGGCGGUGACAAUGUUCUCCUCGCCGUCACUGGUACGUAAAAGUAGCCAUUGGUUUAAUCCGGUCCGGGUUUUUUACUUUCAUUCGGAUUUUUAAUAUUUUUGUGACUUAUUUGGAAAAUAAAGGAAAGGACGCGUCGACUGAUUUUGACGAUGUGAACCAUAGCAAUGAAGCGAAAGAGACGAUGAAGAAAUAUUAUAUCGGUGACGUUGACAAGUCAACUGUCCCGGUGACGGCGAAGUAUAUUCCACCGUGGGAGAAAGAAUCUACUGCUGAAACCACAAAAGACGAAUCUGGAAACAAGAUGCUUGUAUACUUCGUUCCUCUCUUGAUUCUCGGCGUUGCUUUCUUUCUCAGAUUCUACAACAACAAGCAGACAACUUAAGAACAAUUAUGUUGAGACGUGAGAGAAAGAUCCAUCGCAGUGUUUCAUAAGGUUGUAUUAUUAAUAUUAUAUAGGUUUUGUGUGUGUAAUAAUGGCAUUUUCUUUGGCCCAUGAAUGGUGUUUGAUUUGUCUUUAUGUGACUGAGCCGUUGCAAUUAGGCCCUUGUUAUAUCUCAAUAGCAUGGGCUGUGUUACUAUUAUUAACUAUAUAAACAAUCAACUAGACAACACGAAUGAUUGUGUUACAAAAAAAAAAAAAGAAUGGCUAUCUAAUGAAAAUGGGCGUGGCAUACUAACAAGCAUUGAGUGGUAGUAAUUCGUAUUAUGUUGUAUACACACAUAUGUAUAAAAACACUAAAGAAAGAGAACGCAUGACACAUUUACAACUUUGUUAAGGAAGAAGGAAUGAAUGUAAUACAUAUGAAAACGAUCUUACUAUAUUUGUGUAAUAUACGCGAAAAAGAAAAUUAACUUACUAUAUUUGUGUAAUAUACAAGAAAAUUAACUUACUAUAUAUUUAUGGUUACCGAAUAUAUGAAAACAACACAUUCUGUAUUUCUAGCAAAAAAUUUCCACAUGUAUGAUGUAUUAGCCUUUAUAUUGUCUGAUGAUUUCUUUGGCACUUUAAAGAUACAAAGUUUGACGAAUCUUGAUGUUUUUAUUUAUUUAUCGUUUCCAUUGAACUUAUUCGAUUUCAUAAUGUAAAAUAUUAUUUAUAUAAUUCGUUUACUUGUUCUUGUGCUGAUGUUGUUUUCAUGGAUAGUACUGGGUAUUCGAAUAAAAAAUCCCUAAAAAGUAUGAGAAUAUUAUUCUUUGGUUAAUAUUUGCUGUCAAGAAAUAUAGUUUUAUUUUACCUUUAAAAAUCGUAGCGGGUAUAUAUUACAUGUGUUAUUAAAAAAAGGGUUAACAAUUCCAAGAUUGUGUAUACUCUGAAAGAUAGUUCACCAUAAUCACGAAAUAGAUUUGAUAAUUUUAUAUUAGAUUGCAAUUUUAAGUAAUAAUUUAUUCCACAUGUAUCAGCCUUUAUAUUGUCUGUUAAUUUUUUUUGGCAUUUUAAGGAUAUAAGGAGUGACGAAUGUUUUUUUAUUUAUCAUUUCCAUUUGAACAUAUUCGAUUUCAUAAUGUAGAUCAAUUAAUAUUUAUAUAAUUUGCUUACUUGUUCUUGUGUUGCUGUUGUUUUCAUGGAUAGUACUGGGUAUCGAACAAAAAAAUAUGAGAAUGUUAUUCUUUAGUUAAUAUUUGCUGUCAAGAAAUAUAGUUUUGUUAUCUUUAAAAAUUGAAGCGUGGAUUACAUGUGUUGUCAAAAUGGGUAAACGAUUCCAAGAAUGUUAUUCUUUAGUUAAUAUUCACCUUAACAACGAAAUAGAUUUGAUAAUUUUAUUUUAGAUUGCAAUCUUGAAUUAUAAUCGAAUUUAUUCCAAAAUUCGGUUAAAAAAUAAAUGUGUGAGUUGUUUGGUAGAUUAGGAGAGUUUUUUAGGGUCAGACACCUGCGGGUUACACAUAAUCCGCUCAGCUAAAGAAUGGGUUAGGAACACAUUCUAGUAUUAUAAACCCUAAGUGGUUUAUGGUGAAUGUUUUUCUUAUACUAUAGGAUUAUACUAAUUACUAAAAUAAACUGCUGUGUACUAGUGUACGUAUAUAAAUUUAGAAUAGAACUAUAAAUUAUUUUUCAUUGUAUUUACAAUAGUAGAGACACAUCAUUCACCUUUCAGCAGCCUCACAAAUCACAACACACGCACAAAAUCACCUUACGCAUGAAAAUAUUAAAACCUUAAGUACGUCUACGGCGCAGUUUAGCAGCAAGAGGAUUAGCCAUCUCACAUGAAAGCCUUAGUUUCUCAGAUAAGUCAACGCCGUUACCAUCUGACACUCCCCAUUCAAAUUCGUGUAACAGCGUUGCGGUCCAGAACGUAACGGUUGUCAAUCCAAGAUUCUUCCCAGGACAGGUCCUACGACCAGACCCGAAAGGCGCUAGUCUUAAAUCCGACCCAAGAACCGAGAACUCCACCUCACCUUCUUUCGUCACAAAUCUUUCGGGUCUGAACUCCAAAGGAUCGACCCACACGUGUGGAUCAUGCGCUAUUGCCCACAUGUUCACCAUUGCUGUGGUCCCUGCCGGAAUAAAACGACCAUCAACGAUCGUAUCUGUUAUGGCCAAACGGGCCCAUGAAAGAAGUGGGCCUGGUGGAUGCAUUCUCAGGACUUCUUUAACCACAGCCGUCAGAUAUGGAAGUGAAGCCAAGUCAGACUCAUCUACAGCUCUUGAUUUUCCGACCACCAAAUCAAGUUCACUCUGAACCGUCGAUUGAAUAUCUGGAUGAAGCACUAUCCUAGCUAGGAUCCACUCGAUUAAAACCGCUACAGUGUCCGUUCCUCUGAAUAUCAUCUCCUGUGACAAUAAUAUAACCAGAAUAAAUGCGAUCUGUUAAUACAUACUUUAAUGCUUUAUUUAUCCUAGCACAUGUCACAUUCCGUCUAUAAAUUUCAUGUUAUAUCGGACUUUAUAUAAAAUUUAAUUACCCAAAGAACGGCGAUGAUGUCCGGGUCGGAUAAAUGAUCAGAGCCAUGCAGGGAGAGCAGGACGUCCACGAAAUCACGAGGCGAGUCACCGGUUUGAUUACGAUGCUCGGAUACAAUCCGGGAUACAAACCGGUUUACCUUUGGUACGAGUGCGGAACAUCUAGUCCGGAUUCUCUGUGGAUCAAAUUCCGACAACCAAGGAAGGUGAUCGGUCCAAUUCAAUGUUCCGAGCAAAUCAUAGCCUUCUUCGACCAACUCACGUAACUCACUAUGGUCUUGAUCAAGCUCGUACUCUUGUCCGAAAACAGAGCACAUCAUGUUGUUAAGCGACGCCGUUUUGAGCAACUCACGAACAAAACAGACGCCGUUAGUGCUCUGUUUCUCAAGAAGUCCCACCAUCUGGCUAGCGAUCACUCGCCUCUGUGUUUCAGCACGUUUGAUUUGUUUCGGACUAAAGAGAUGGUUCGAAGCGAUACGCCGCAGAGUUCGCCAGUAAACACCGUGUGGUGCAAAACCAAUCGCCCGGUUGAACAUCAGAGAGUAAGCUGAUUCCUUAACCGGCCGGUCAGCAAAAACAGGGCUAUUGAGAAUCUCUUUAGCAACGUCGGGAUUGCACGUGACGAUCACGCGUGUCUCCCCUAAGCUGAAAGCUAAGAGCCGUUUGGCUCCGAAUCUCUCCGCAACGUCUGCGAUACGGCGGUGAGCUAGAGUGCUGGACAUGAGAGACAUGCUUCCCACGAAAGGGAACCCUCUUGGACCGGGGAUAACCGUACCGGUUUUGUUAGCUAACCGGCGUGAGAGGAACUUUCCCCAUGCAGGUCCACCGGGAUAGGUCCAGAAGAACAAAGAGAUGGCGAGCCAUACGAAUACUAUGGCAAGGAGAGAGAAGGCGAGAUUAGUUUGGCUUGGAACGGUGCAUUUGGACAGAAGGGCAAAGACUAAGGAGCUUUCGAGUUCGGUAGCCAUGGCUGAUCAAAGGAAAUUAGAUGAAGAGGGAGGGGAGAGAGACUAAAGGAGAGUGUAUUUUGGUUUGUGGGGCUUAAAGAUCAGCAGAUGGCUUUGGUCUUUAUAUAGAUAAUCAGAGCUCACAAAACUGUUACCAUUUUGUAAAAAAAAAAAUGUAAUCUUCUUUGUAUAUGUAUGAUUUCCUUUAGUAUAUUUAAUUUACAGGAUUGUUAAUAGUAUAUAUAUUGUGUAGUUGUGUGUUAUUUUAUUGUCCCUCUCUAUGUCAAGAAUGUGUUCUUUUUUUUUUGUUGUUGUCAUCAUCAAGAAUGUGUUCAUUGUUCUAUAUAUAUGUAUAUUAAAAAUCUUUCCAUACAUAAAAUACAAUCAAUUAAGUUUUCUGAAUUUUUAUCAUAAAUCUCAUCUUUCACACACACACACACACACACAUAUAUAGCGAAAAUCUAAUAUUUUCCUAGUUGUUUUGAAAAUGCCUAUUCAUAUGCAAAGUUUCGUAAGUAAUAAUUUGAUUAUUUAACCCUUUAUUAGAAGGUUUUAGUAUAAACAUAAAAAUUAAGAAAGGUAUUUUUUUUUUUACAAAAAGCACCCUAUUAUAAUAAAUUUUUAACCACAUAUUAUAUAUGUAUUAAUGUAUGUUAAACUCUAUUUCAUGGUAUAGGGGUGUCGUUAUAAUUUUUAUCAAUUAAUGUAGUAAAACUUUAUAAUACUCCCAAAUCGGUAUAAUAACCACUAUAAAAUCGUUAUUUUCUUGAAAAAUGGAGAUAACAAAGGCUCUAAACCUCUUUCAACAUCAUCAUAUGUUAGUGCAUGAUGCAAUUAUGCAUUAAAACAAUAUUGUCAUAUUUUUUGAAAUUUUCUCAAAACAUAUGUGUUAACCUCAACAAAAAUAUUGAAUUUUGGUAAAUGAACCUUAUAAUCAUUAGUAUUGUUUUAAAUUUCUAACCAAAUUCUAAAUUUUUAUUAAUGUAUGUUAAACUCUCUUUCAUGGUACAUGAGUGUCGUUCAAUUUUUUUAUAAAUUAAUUUAGUUUAAUUUCAUAUACUCUCACUACAAGAAAACGUAACUUUAACGAGAAAGUUUAACGAGGAAAAAUAAUCCUCGUAAAAAAACGUUGAUUUUGCGAGGAAAGUACGUUGAGAAAGAAAAGCAUCGUUAUUUCGUCGUAAGUUAACGACAAAAAAUAUUCGUCGUAAAGACGAUGUAAAUUGACGUGGCUUUUACGAGGAAAUAGUUUUUCCUCGUAAAAGCCACGUAAAUUUCGCGAGUGCUUUACGACGAAAUAUUACGAGAGAAUUUUUUUUAUUAUUUAUAUAUAUAUUUUUUUCAGAAAAACUAAUUAUAAAUUAUUUUUUCCAACAGCAAAAAUAUAAUUGGGCCUUCGGGAUCACUGAGAGGGUGAGGAAGAAGUUUGAAGCGAAGGCGAAAGUUCGCUUGUUGGACACGGUCUCCAACUGGAAGGGUGACUGGAUCGUGAAGGGGUAUGAGCGUGGCAAACCCGCUGAGCUCACCACGGAUGUCUGGGAUGGCCUCAUCUGAUAUUGGCGUCUUCCUGAUUCCAUUAGAAUCGCCCAGUCUUGCUCUAACUCCCGUAACACAGUCGAUGAGCACGGGAACGGGCCGAUGCUUCACACUACGGGCCAAAAACCCCACGCCGGUGUCCGUUUGGAAAUGGUAAUUAAAAAUUUAAUUAUAUUAAAUUUUUAGUAUAUUUUUAUAUAUAUUCUAAUUAACAACUUUCUUAAAUGUUUUUUUAGGCCAAAGAGACGGGAGAAUUCCCGUCUCUUAUGCAACUUUACGAGAGGACCCACAAGAACAAGGCGGGCCGAUUUAUAGAUGGCAAGUCCGAGCAAAUCUACAACGAUUUGGCUGCUCGGGUUGAAGAACGCCAGACCCAGCUGACCCAACAGUCCACCGAUGGAUUACCCGUCACCUUAUCCACACCUGAAGUGGAUAAGCUUUACGAGGAGGUAAAUUUUCUAAAAUUUUAAUUUUUUUAAAUAUUCAUUUAAUUUAACUUUAAAUUUUUACUAACAAAAUUUAUUUUUUGUUUUUAAGGUUGUCCCUAAAAAAAAGGGACGGACGUUGGGGAUUGGUUCCGUCAACGAUGUUCCGAGAGCGACAUCGUCUUAUGUUCAGCGACGGGAUGAUGAAGUCUCUCAGCUGCGUAGGGAGUCCGAAGAGCUGCGUAGAGAGUCUACUCAGCUGCGUAGAGAGUCUACUCAGCUGCGAUCUCGUAUGGGUGGACUCGAGGGCUUCUUGGACGUUGUAGCGGCCACAAAUCCGGAAUGGGCGACUUUGUUGAGGACCAUGCGACAAUAAAAUCCUAUCCCAGGCCAGUCACCGACCGACGACUCACAUGCCGAGGCGGAUGUUCAGGCGAGGAGUGAUGAAUUCUACGAGGCGAUUAAUUAACGACCACCCUUAGUUCUUUUUAAUUUCGGUUCUUGUAUUAUGAAUUCAAAACUUAUUUAUAUAUAAAAUAUUUUGGUUUUGAUUUUUUUAGAAUUUUAAUUUUAUUAAUAAUUUAAAUAAUUUAAAUUAUAUUUAUAAUUAUAAUUUUUUAUAUUUCUAUAAAAUAAUGAAACGAAGUAAAUUCGUAGCUAAUUUUGCGGCUUCUUUACGUGGAAGCUUAACGUGGUUUUUACGAGGAAACAUUUAUAAGGACAUAACGUGGAAAUCUAUCAAGGUUUUUACGUUUUCUUUACGUGGAAAGCUGUCAAGGUAUUUACGUUAAUUUUACGAGUAUUUAUUUACGUGGGUUUUACGAGGAAAGUUUUUCGUGGUAUUUACGAGGAAACUUAGCGACGUCCUUACGUGGAAUCUUUACGUGGUCUUUACGACGAAAUAUCCUCCUUCGCUUUUACGACGAAAUUAUUUCCUCGCUAACUUACGACGAAUUAGCGAGGAUAUAUGCGUUACGACAAACGGAUAACGACGAAACGGGUUUCCUCGCUAAUUCGUCGUAACACUGCUUUUACGACGAAGUAACGAGGAAAACUGCCCUCGUAAAACUUUUGUUUUCUUGUAGUGUCUCUAAAUUAGUGGACUAACCAUUAUAAAAAUCGAUAUUCUAUAGAAAAAUAGAGACAACAAAGGUUCCAACCUCUUCGACCAUCACCAUAUAUUAGUACAUGAGGCAAUUAUGCAUUAAAGCAAUAUUGCUAUAUUUUUUUGUUUUUUUUCUCAAAAUUUAUGUAUUAACUUCUACGAAAGUAUUGAAUUUUACAUUAAACGCUCCAUAUACUGAAGUCUAAGCUUUUUGGCGUUGUUUUAAAAUUUUUUAACCACAUUCUGCAUUUGUAUUAAUGUAUGUUAAACUCUCUUUAUGGUAUAUGAGAAUCAUUAUAAUUUUUCAUCAAUUAAUUUAGUAUAACUUUAUAAUACUCCAUAAAUCGGUAGAAUAACCACUAUAAAAUUGCUAUUUUCUUGAAAAACAUAGACAACAAAGACUCCAAACCUCUUUCAACAUUAUCAUAUGUUAGUGCAGGAUGCAAAUAUGCAUUAAAAACAUAUUGUCAUAUUUUUGAAUUUUUUUCUCAAAAUCUGUGUGUUAACCCCUACGAAAAUAUUGAGUUUUACGUUAAACGCUCUAUAUACUGAAACUUAUAUUUUUUAUUGUUGUUCUAAAUUUUGUAACGACAUUAUAAAUUUGUAUUAAAGUAUGUUAAACUCUCUUUUAUGGUAUAUGAUAAUCGUUAUAAUGUUUUAUUAAUUAAUUUAAUAAAACUUCAUAAUACUCUCUAAAUUGGUGGAAUAACUACUAUAAAAUCACUUUUUCUUGAAAAAUAGAGAAAGCAAAGUCUCCAAACCUCUUUUAAUAUCAUCAUAUGUUAGUGCAUGAUGCAAGUAUGCAUUAAAACAAUAUUUUCAUAUUUGUCUGAAAUUUUCUCAAAAUCUAUGUGUUAACAUCUACAAAAAAUAUUGAAUUUUGGUAAAUGAUUUAUAUAUUGAAACCUAUAAUCUUUAGUGUUGUUUUAAAAUUUCUAAUCACAUUCUAAAUUUUUAUUAAUGUAUGUUAAACUCUCUUUUAUGGUACAUGAUCAUCGUUUAAUUUUUUUUUAUAAAAAAAUUUAGUAAAAUUUCAUAUACUCCCUAAACUACUGGAUUAACCAUUAUAAAAUCGUUAUUCCCUAGAGAAAUGGAAACAACAAAGGUUCCAAACCUCUUUGACAUCAUAAUAUAUUAGUACAUGAGGCAACUUUGCAUUAAAGUAAUAUUGUUUAUUUUUUGAAUUUUUCUCAAAAUCUAUGUGUUAACCCCUACAAAAAUAUUGAGUUUUACGUUAAACGCUCUAUAUAUUGAAACUUAUACUUUUUAUUGUUGUUCUAAAUUUUAUAACGACAUUCUAAAUUUGUAUGAAUGUAUAUUAAAGUCUGUUUUAUUGUAUAUGGGAAUAGUUCUAAUUUUUAUCAGUUGAUUAGUUAAACUACAUAAUACUAUCUAAAUCAGUGGAAUAACCACUACAAAAUUGCUAUUUUCUUUUAAAACGGAGACAACAAAGGCUGUAAACCUCUUUCAAUAUCAUCAUAUAUUACUGCAGGAUGCAACUAUGCAUUAAAACAAUAUUGUCAUAUUUUUUAAAAAAUUUCUCAAAAUCUAUGUGUCUCUACCAAAAUAUUGAAUUUUGGUAAAUGCUUUAUAUAGUGAACCUUAUAAUCUUUAGUGUUGUUUUAAAAAAUUUAACUACAUUCUAGAUUUGUAUUAAUGUAUGCUAAACCCUCUUUCAUGGUACAUGAGCAUCGUUCAAUUUUUUUAAUAAUUAAUUUAGUAAAAUUUCAUAUAUUCCCUUAAUUAGUGGACUAACCAUUAUAAAAUUGAUAUUUUCUAGAGAAAUGUAGAUAACAAAGGUUUCAAACCUCUUUGACCAUCACUUUAUACUAGUAAAAGAGACAACUAUGUAUUAAAACAAUAUUGUUAUAUUUUUGAUUUUUUUUCAAAAUCUAUAUGUUAACCCUAUGAAAAUUUUGAGUUUUACAUUAAACGCUCUAUACACUGAAGCCUAAACUUUUUAGAAGUAACAAAAAUAAUUAAUUAUUGCUAUUCUAAAUAAAUAAGCAAAAAAAAAUAUAGAAUAACUUUUAAUAUUUUAAUCAAUUACUUUAAGUUUCAAAUAUCAUACAAACUGAAACAAAAAUAUAUAUCAUUUAAAACAUCAUAUGUAAAGAAACGGAGAAAAUAUGUAAGAGUGUACAUAGAGUAAAAUACGUCAAUGGAACAAAAUAUAUGUAAUUCCCGAUUACUUGGCUAGAUAAUUAAAUUUGCCGAGCUUGAUUCCAACAGACUCGAUCGACGUUGAUUGUGAAUAUCUUCUGGAUGAAUAUCUUAUAAUUGAAAACUUGAAAGUGCUUGUCGACCUUAUUCCAAUUUUUUUUGAAAGGAAUAGAAAAGACAAGAACGUUCAGCCACAAGAUAAAGAUGAUUACAGAGUCUUCUUGUUCGUUGAUCUGUUUGAUAAAUAAAACAUCAAACAGAAGUUGUUUUUAUAAAAGCAAGACUACUUUGAAUGUAAUCGUUUAAAUGAUUUACAUGGAUUUUUUUGUUUGUUUGAGAAAUGAUUUACAUGGAUUUGUAAACAUGAAUCUUUGUAAUUUUAACAGUGCAAAACAUUCGGAUUUGCAACAGGUAGCUUUCAUUGCAUAUGAAUGAAAAUAUGAAUCUUGUUGAUUAGGAAUAUAAAUUAAAGAAUGUAAUAAAUUGGUGUAAUGCGUGAUGGUUACAUCAAUUAACUUAUUGCAAACGCUAAGUUAAUUAUCGUCGCGACCAUUGAAUAAAACGUAAAUCAUGGAGUCUGCUUGUAUUAAUGAAAUUCAUUAUAUUUGUUAAUUUGUAGUCCAGUUGACUUGACUUAUCCCAAUCAAUUAUAUAGCUGCUUAUUUACAUAUACUUUUUGUUUUUUCAUAUCAACUUUUUCUUUCAAUAUACUUAUAUAUACACUAAUACACAUAUAUAAGUAAAUAACUACCCUAUUUAUGUAUAUAUUCUGUCGAAACAAAGAAAAGUAUCCUACAUAUUACUAUUUUGUGUUGUUCAACCUAACUGUUUGAUGAUAUUGUUCAUACUUCAUACGGUACCUUGACAAAUAAGAAAAUGAGUUUUAACGGUUCAGCGCCGUCAUACGUUGGCGCGUGAGUCUUAACUCUCCAGCCCCAUGGGAUCGAUGCUACUUCGAGUGAUGUCACAUUUUGUGGAGCCCAUGUUCAGUAUCUUUGCAGUAAAAAUCUAAAACUGAAGUCAGUACUGUACUGGACACGGGAAGCUAGGUAAUAACUAGUUUUACCGAAUAAGAAAAUGGUUUAAUUGCCUAGAUUUGGUUUUAAGAACCUAGGUUUAACUCAACCAAUAUAAAUAAUUCUACAAUUCAAUUUGACCCGUAGGGCUGUAACCGAUACAAAAUGAUUGUGUGUGCUGUAUAUUGUAACCGUCAGAUUGGAGUAUUUUAAUAUCUGACGAGUUCUUGAUUAAUCAGUCUUGAUUCAGGACUACAUAACUUUUCUUUUGCUAAAAAAUGUUACAAAAGGACUAUAUCCUACUAUAUAAAAGGGACUAAAUUCAAGGCUUUUGGGACUAUCCACCUCAGCCAAAAUAUUCUCAUCCAAUGAAGUUGCCAUGUCAUCCAAUGAAAUUAGUAAUCUAUUUGGGUCUAAUUUUUACCAAACCAAAAUAUUCAAUAAUUCCAAUUCAUUUGGUUGAAUGCCCCAUGCUUCCCGAAAGAUUCUGCAGAUAAAGUUUACCGAUUAUUACCUUUGGCUUCUUCAAGAAUAUAGCGACCCUUGAAUUCUAAGGUUCUUCGUUUUCUUCGAGUUCAGAUUAGGUCAAGCUUCAAUAGAGUUUCUGAAAGGUUGUGUGAGACGAAUCGUCUUGAGAAAUCCCUGGGUUGAACUUUAUUCGUGUCGCUUCGUCCAAAAUUAUUCUCCUCUAAAACGUUAUGGAAUUUAUUGAUUCAUCGUCAUUAACAAUAACCUUAAUUCUUCCCCCAGAACAAGCACAAUUACUUCUUCUUAUCUCUAUUUGAGAUUAUCUCUUCUCUUUAUAGAACAACUUCACUUAAAGAUUAUCGUCAUACACAAAAGAUUUCUCAAUUCUAAUCCACAUAGAAGACCACUCCCAGAGAUGAUGAAAAAAAAACACAAUCCAAAAGGUAAAAGCUUGAUUUCUUUGAAUUAUGGAUCUUCAUAAUAAACUGAUUUGUCAUUUAUAGAAUGUCGUAAUUGGCUAUAGCUUUUCUACAGGGAACUGCAAAUACGUUUGCCCAUGAAUCCACCUGGAAAACAAACCAGCUUUAGAAAUCAGGCCCGAUUAGCUAUUGUCUGAACAUGUUUCAGGUUUUCAAUUGACUCCAGACAUUUACUGGAGAGAUUUGUCUCAGGGAUACAUUCAGCCACAAGAUUUGCCAACACCGGAAAGAUCUAACAAGUCUCUAAUUUCGUUAGGGAUCAAACCUGUGAGAUUCCUAGAUAAUAAAAGUGACUAAAGUUAUAGAAUUUAGCUUUUAGGAUGUAUCGUCUGUAACAGAGCUUGAAAGUGGGAUGAAAAGAAACAGAGGAGGAGGAGGAGGAGUCUUAAACCUUACAAGCACAACUACAGUUGCAAUGAACAAGGUAAUGAUCACAUGUUGCUUCAUUUACUACUUUGAUGGUCCUUAAACAUCUUUUUGAUCAAUCUUGCGCUGUCUUCACAUUUUUUCAUCUAAUGUCACCCACAAAACAAGCUAAACUGCUAAGUGAUCAAGGAUUAACAAAAGUUGUAUGCACAGCUGGACAGCAAACAGAAUGUGUACUCUCAUUCCUAACUUCAUAAUACUCUAAAAUCAUGAGAGGAUUGGUUGUGUCGUGUAUGUUGUGUGUUUAUAGAUAGAGAUGAUGUCAUAGGCAAUUGAUGAAACAUUUGACAAAGAAGAAGUUGGAAAAACUACAGAUCUAGCUAAUCAGGUAAUUAUUGAAAUUUCAGUCACAAGAUACAGUCACACACAGCUUUCGUUUGUUUUUUUAAUUCUUCAAUCUAACUAAUUCCUCAAUAUUCUGCUGUUCUUAUAGGUGGUCGAUGAGAUUACAGUUCACAGGUUGGCUUUUCUUAAGUAGUCAGUUAAAAUUUGUCAAGAAAAUAUUACAAAUGGUUUAAAACUAAUUUUACCUGCUUCUUUCUCAACAGGUAUGUAUCUUCAUCUCUAAAACGCAGGAUGGCUACAAAAAAAUGACGUUCCCACUACAGUCAAUAAAAAGAGGCAAGUGUAUGUAAAUAGACAUGACAGUUCAAAUUACUUACUUUGAUCUAUUACGUUUAUCAGGAAUAGAUAAUUCAUUCUUUUCGGUGUUCAAAUAUUAUUGCAGCUUGGAAUUUACUGAAGUGGAUGAUCUAGAGAAGAGAUUGACUUAGCUUUGAUGAAUCUGAGAGAUGAACCUUCUUAUUCGUAGGUAUCACUCAUCAUGCAUCAAAUGAAAGAAGCUCCCUUAAUUAUUUUGAAAGUUGUGUUCUGUCAAAGUGUAAACAAAAUAUAUUUUAGAUUUUUUUUGUCUCGAUUCUAAGAAUUUUUUAGGCUGAUAUAAAAGUAUAUUAUAUCAUUUAUGUAUGUUCUAUAGGUAUUGUAAUUUUCCUAAUGAAAAACAAAGUAUUCAUAUUUUGUCUCGAUUUAAGGAAAUCUUUUUUUUCUAAUUUGCUGGUGUUAGUUAAAAUGUAACUGAUGUAACUGAACUAGAGGGUGGAGGAGGAGGGCUCCGGGAAGAAGCAGCAGAGAACAAGUUGUGCUUGGUUCGGCUGACACUCUCUUCAACACGAUUAUACGAAUCCUACAUGGUCCUUCAACCAUAAGGCAACCAAGGUUGUCUAUACUCAAAACUAUCGUAUCUUCCUACAAAAUUAUAGUACACAAUCAAGCUGAUUUCCUUUUAUUAUUGAACCCAUUCACCAAAUACGUUCCAGCUCAAAUAUAUAACAAUGUGAAAUUCACAACUUAUUUGUAAUAUCCCAUAAAAUAAAAUAAUAAGAUCAAUAGGAAAAACAAUCUCAUAACAAACAAUGAUUUCACAAUUCUGUUUAAAAGGAAAUACCACAAUGUUUAAAUUCUGCGCAUAGCGUGGACCAGUCCUAGAUCAUAACAGUCCUAGGCUGUAAUCUAUAUAAUUAUAUAAUUGUAUAUUUUCAUUCAUUUUCACAUUAUCAAAAUCAAUAGGUUUAAAAUGUAUAAAAUACCAACGCAUUCAAAAACAAAUACAUAAGAAUGAAAAAUAAUUCAUAAUUUGCAUUGAAUUUCAACUAUAGUGACAAAUAUUUUUAUUUUACUUCCUUUUAUAAUAAAAUAUAACAAACACUAAAAUGAAAAAUAAUUAUAUUAAUGAAAUAAUAAAAGUUUUUAAUUAAUUUAUCAAACCUUUGAUUUCUAAUAAGAACCAAAGAAACAAUAGAAAAAAUAAAAUUAUUUUUGGUUAAGAGUAAACUGCAUAUUUUUACACACAUAUCUUUUAAUUGAUCUUCACUUGCUUAACAUAGAUUAAUAUAGACAAAGGUAAGUUAAUAACAACAUCAAUUACAAUUGAUGUUAAAAUAUAAUAUGAUUUUUGUAUCAUUUAUUAAUAGUCUCAAAUUGAUAUCAUUCGUUUUUCUAAUACUAUUUAUGUAACAUAAUAUGAUUUUUUUUAACAAUACUUAGGUUCACCCUUAUACUGAAUCGUUAAAUUCACCACACUCUUCAUAACUAAUCAAAGAGCCAUGUAGGAAUGAUUAAAAAAACAAUAAAAAUAAAAAAAAUUAAUUUAGUUGAAAAAAAAUAACACCGACAUUAAUUAACGCCGUCUGCGAAAUUCUAAAUUCUAAAAACCUAAACUCUAAAACUAUAAACCCUAAAUCUAAAACACUAAACCAUAAACCCCAAUCCUAAAAUAUAAAUCUUAAAUCUUAAUCUCUAAACCCAAACUCUAAAUAUAAACCCUAAAUCCUAAAAUUUAAACCCUAAAUCUUGAACCCUAAACUCUAAAUUCUAACCCUAAACUCUGAAUCUUAAACUCUAAACUCUAAAUCUUAAACUCUAAACUCUAAAUCCUAAACCCUAAACCCUAAACCCAAACCUUUAAACCGUAAACCUCAAUCUUUUUAACUAGCAGUUGGGUUUACGGUUUAGAGGUCUGUGUUUCGGAUUUAUAGUUUAGGGUUUAAGGUUUGAAUUUUUGGGUUUAAAUUUUAGGAUUUAGAGUUUAGGAUUUAGGAUUUAGGGUUUAGAUUUUAGGAUUUAGGGUUUAUGGUUUUGGUUUUAGACUUUAGGGUUUAGAUUUUAGGAUUUAGGGUUUUGAAUUUGGGUUUAGGGUUUAGAUUUUAAGAUUGGGGUUUAUGGUUUAGUGUUUUGUAUUUAGUAUUUAUUGUUUUAGAGUUUAGGUUUUUAGAAUUUUGCAGACGGUGUUAAUUAAUGUCGGUGUUGUUUUUUUGCAGUUAUUUAUAUUUUCUUAUUUUUAUUGUCUUUUUUAAUUAUUUAUAGAUGACACUUUGAUUGGUCAUGAAAAAAGUGCGGUGAAUUUAACCAUUCACCAUAGAGGUGAACUUAAGUAUUGUUCAUUUUUUUUGUAGUGUUUUAUACAUAUUUCUUGCAAAUGUAAACUUAAAACACAAACCACAAAAUUAUACAAACAAUAAUAACUUAAAUCACAAGUAAAGUAUAUUUCACCCGUAGGGCGGACCGACCCUAGUAACUUAUAACGGCUUGACACUUUCCCACUCUCAAUACGUUUUUCAACCAUGGACGUGGGAACGAUCAAUGAGUUCUCCAAUAGGGGUUAUCCACAGCUGCGCGCUUCAUCAUUUUUCUAAUGUAAUAAGACAAACUUGUCAUUUAACUAACGUGAUUUGGAAAAGUUAAAAGUAAACUCAACUGUAAACAGGUAAUAUCAAGAUAGCGUGUCCUUUUGUACUUGGUACUACUUAUCCACGAGUCAAACUUAUAUUAAUUUACUAACCUCCCUAUAUUUGCCAGAUGACGCUUUGACAGCUAUACGAUUUAGUACAGAGUAAAAUUACUAGUUUUAUAUUAUACAUUUAUAUAUAAGUAUUUACCACUAUACGUUUCUAAAUUUUAUCACAAAAUUUCUUCUGUGAAAUGACUCAGAUAUUAGUUGACCUUUGAUAACUAAUAAUCCUGUUAGCCACAUGAUUGUUGCUAUCAGUUUAUAAUUCAUCUGCCGCUAAAACGUGGUGUUUAAAACUAGAAUAUUCUUAUAUGUAUAUAAAGAUUCCACAGGAAAUAUUUAUGUGUUAGAUCGUACAUUACAACAUAUAUUUUUGUUAACAAGCAAUCAAACGGAAUUGAACAUUAAAAAAAGUUCGUGACAACUCAUAAUGGCUAAUUUUAACAGCGUAAAUGAAUUUUAUGUGGAUCUUUGUCGUUCGCUAUGAUGCGGUCUUGGGUACCCAAGUGACGACAGCGUUUUGUUUUCAGCCGUUGAUUUCGUUUACAGAUUCGACAUAUAUCAUCAGAAUCAUUCGCUUUCUGGUUACGUCACGUGUGUGAGGUUCGAGGGAUGAAUUGCGUGAUCGUGUCAAGUUUGUGAGCGUGGUAUAAUUAACAUAUGCACACUUGACCUCAGUGGAAAAAUGGUUGAGAAAUGACCAUAGCACCGACCGCCUAACCUGAUCAAGCUUAAAGAAGAUAAACCAAAUGGCACAAUGGUUAUUUAAGGUCCCACGUGAUUCGGUGAACACACAAAAUCUCACAUUGUCUCAUAUAUAUCGUUUGCUAAGUGCUUGUCGACAACGAUCAGAGAUCUCUCGUGUGUUUCUGAUUAGAACUGCCUGGCCGCUGAUCUAACAUCCACUAAUGCUUUAUCUUGUUCUGUCAUGGUUAGUUAUGUAUAUGUUUUGUUUUGUUUCGUUUUCGGUCUAAAACCAGCGAGGAUCAGUCCAAAGAUGAGACUUGGUCAUUAAAUAGUCUGACAAGAAUUGCAACUUCCCCCAACUUAGAGCUAUUUAUUCACAAUUUGGUCAUCAUAAUAAACAUUUAGAUGAUACAUGUAAAAGAAGUAUAGCAACAAAAAAAAAAAAAGUAUAGCAACAUAUUACAACAUUUGAGAUUUGACUAUGUUUCAUAAUAAAAUUGUAGAGCUACUUCUACACAGAUAGGUCAUCAUAACAAAAAUUAAAAUACAUGUAAUUAUAGAAGUACAUGUAAUAAAAUAAAUUGUAAUAAAUGCAUGUGUAUUGAACUGAAAUGGUAGAAAAUGUUUUCGUAAUUGUUUUCAAACGUUCUUCUAAUAUCCACAAACACAACAUUUAUGGGUAUUGACCGGAUAAUCAACAAAACAUGAAAACAUUAGUGGGGUUUGUCAUCAAUACAUUCCGCUUCUAGACUGGGCAAACUAAAAUGUCGCUAAUGAGCUUAACAACAAAUAACUAAUGACCAUACAUUACAAUAGCAUAAUCUGUGUUUUAAAAUACGGUUACAAAAUCUGAUUUAUAUUAUUUUUGUGGUGUCAAGUGACACCAUUGUCUUAACUUGGAUCCGCCACUGAGUCAAACGCAUAUAAGAUUUAGGCAUACAUUAUAACUUAUAUGACAUAUAAAUUUAGGCGUUAAUAUUCAAUAACUAAAGUAUUAGUAUUAUUAUUAUUCUAUUACUAUUUUAUAUUAACUGUUACUAAUUUUAUGUAUGCAUAUGAUUAUAGAUAUUAGGUUAGUUAUUUGAAAAUAAUUUCAAAUUUAUAAAUUUAUCUUAUUUACAUAUUCAAACAUGUUUUUAUAAUUUAAAUUAUAUAUAUAUAUAUAUUAAAUUAUAUAUAUCUUCUGUUCAUUUUCUAAAAUUACUGUAUAUAUUAAUUUUUAUUUAUAUUUUAUAUAUUUACCUAUCUACUCUUGUUUUAGUUAUCUGUGUAUACAGCUAGACGCUAAAUAUAAUGUGUAUAUUACCAUGUGACGAAUGCAUAGCGUGUUUUUAAACACUAGGUAUAGUACCAGACACAUAUUUUAUAACCAAAAGGUAUCUGCACACUUAUAGUACUUGAUAUAUCCAACAGUGCCAACUAUAGUCAAGCAAUGAUGAAAUUUAAACAUUAAUGGUCGAUUUUCAAAAAGUCAUUCUUAUCAAGUAAAACCUAUCCUCUCUUUUUUGACAUCUAGAGCCCUCUCCUUUAAUAUAAUUACAAAUAUCAUUUUGGACAUACUUCACUCAAGCCUGUUUUGUUAGGAUUUCACACAAGUUAAAGAUACAAAUUAUAUGUUAUAUUGUACUGAUAAAAAAUAGUAGACGUCUUUAACUUAUACUCCAUUAUAUUUUACAUUAUAUAUAUAUUUAAAUGUUUAAUAGUAUUAAAGAUGACAACAAAGCUAUUUUGAAAAUUUUGGUUGAAAUAAUAUUAAUAUUUGCAAAUUCUUCCUUCAAUUUUUAUUAUUUUUUUCUUUCUUUCUUUCCCGAGAGAAAGCUAUAGAAAUCUACACUAAAUUAUGUCCGGAUAUGUAUAGAGGGCACAUUAAAACUUUUUCGACACUGUUUAAAAAAAACUUAUCAAUGCAUAUGCUAUAGUUUCAUGUUCACCAAAAUAAUCUAUAUACUUUUUUCAAAUAUUACAUGUUAUCUUCCCUUUUAUAUUUUAAAGAUAUCUAUCGCCAAUGGGCAACCUUUCGGUACAAUUGAUAGGGUUUUGACCAUUUCCAUUUCUCUAUGCUCCCAGUAUUCUAAAUAUACUAAAUUAAAGUUAAGAUCUAUCAAGGGAAGAAAGAGGGUAAGCAAGAUAUGGCGCAACCUGUUUUUCUUUUAUGGAAAUUCGAGUAUACAAUUUUAAAAAUAAAAACCAUUUUAGGAGAAUCUAGCAACUUGGUUCAACUUUGUCACACUUUAGAUCUCUAUGCUAGUGCCACCCACAAAAUAAUAUAUUUAAGUAAAUUGUUCUGGUUUGCAGAAAGUCACGGUGAAUAUCAUCAUCGUAGUUAACAUGAAUUUAGUAAAUCUCGAAUUUAAACUAAUAAUAUUAGACACGAUAGACAUUCGACUAGUGUUUGAUGCAUAUGUAUGUUGUGCAUGACUAGUGCAUCGAUAAAUUGACAAUUAUGUUUUUCGGAUUUUCCAAAUCAGAUCAUUGUGCAAACGAAAAUAAGAUCAACUAAUAAAUAAACAUUGAAAACAUUAAAAUAAAUUUCGCAUUUAGCUAAUGCACUGAUAAAGUCACUUUAAGAUUCCAUCGAGCGGUCUAAGUUGGAUGAAGAUUUGAUUCUGAUAAAGUGUAUUGAUUGAGUCAUGUAGACUCAACUUGCAUGCAGACUCUCCUCCCUUUGAAGAUUCCCUUACCAAAAAUCUUUGCAUCAUUCUCUCUUUUCCUCCCACUUACACACUUUGAAUACAUGUACUCAACUAGAGUUCGAAUAUAUAUCAUAUAAGAUUUUUGACUGCAUCGAUAUUUGUGAUUGUUUCAUUAUACCAAAAGAUAUACACAAUAUCAUCUGAUUAGUUUUAUAUUUGGUGAACUUAGAUCAACUGAUUUUGUUUUCAUUUUUCUUACAUUUAUGUGAUCAAAAGAUUUGAAGCCAUAAAUAAUCCUAAAAUUUUAUAACAUUGUGACUGUAGAAACUUAUGUAAAGGACGUAUACAAUUGAUUCAUUAAAAAAAUAUUUGGUUUCAAAUAAGCUUUUUCUGCUAUGAACUUUAAGAUUCUUUUGAAAUUUUGGGUGCCUCAUUUUUAUUAACCGUUGGUACGACGUCGUUUCUUUGCCACAGAUCCUUUGGGCUUUCUUUAAAACCAAAUUUUAUUUAUAGAUGGGCUUCUGUAUCGAGCCUACAUGUCUGGCUUUUCACAAACUUUAAUAUCUUGAUUUCAGGUACCUAUGGACAACUUUAAUUCAGUUUUAUUACAAAAAAUGGAUUAUGUCCUUAAACAUGUAUGAGUUAAGAAGCUGAUGUUAAUUGACUUUCAUGAUUCUUCUCGUGUUCCUAAUACCAAAGUUGUCACAAGAACCAACUUCAUCUUGUGUUGAUCUUAAUACAUAAUGAUGCACAAACUAUAUAUAACAUAGAAGAUUCUCUGCCUUUGAUUCUUUUAUUCAUCCAAAUCAAGUCGGAGACAACAACGGUUCCAAACCUCUUUGACAUUCAUCAUAUGUUACUGAAGGAUGCAACUAUAUAUUAAAAUAUAAUUUUCGUAUUUUUGAAUUUUUCUCAAAAUCUAUGGGUUAACUCCUACGAAAAUAUUGAAUUUUUCGGUAAAUGCUCUAUAUACUGAAGCAUAUGAUCUUUAGUGUUGUUUUAAAAUUUCUAAACAUAUUAUGCAUUUGUAUAAAUGUAUAUUAAACUAUAUUUCAUGGUACAUGGGCGUCUUUUAAAUUUUUUGUCAAUUAAUUUAGUAAAACUUCAUAAUACUUCCUAAAUUGGUUGACUAACCACUAUAAAAUCGCUAUUCUCUAAAAAAACGGAAACAACAAAGGUUCCAAACCUCUUUGACCUUCAUCAUAUGUUAUUGAAGGAUGCAACUAUAUAUUAAAAUAGAAUUUUCAUUUUUUUGAAUUUUCUCAAAAUCUAUGGGUUAACCCCUACGAAAAUAUUGAAUUUUUCGGUAAAUGCUAUAUAUACUGAAGCAUAUGAUCUUUACUGUUGUUUUAAAAUUUCUAAACACAUUCUGCAUUUUUAUUAAUGUAUAGUAAACUCUAUUUCAUGGUACAUGUGCGUCGUUUAAAUUUUUCGUCAAUUAAUUUAGUAAAACUUCAUAAUACUCCCUAAAUUGGUUGACAAACCACUAUAAAAUUGCUAUUCUCUAGAAAAACGGAGACAACAAAGGUUCCAAACCUCUUUGACCUUCAUCAUAUGUUAGUGAAUAAUGAAACUAUUCAUUAAAAUAGAAUUUUCAUUUUUUUUUAUUUUUUCUCAAAAUCUAUGGGUUAACCCCUACGAAAAUAUUGAUUUUUUCGGUAAAUGCUCUAUAUACUGAAGCAUAUGAUCUUUACUGUUGUUUUAAAAUUUCUAAACACAUUCUGCAUUUUUAUUAAUGUAUAUUAAACUCUAUUUCAUAGUACAUGUGCGUCGUUUAAAGUUUUUGUCAAUUAAUUUAAUAAAACUUCAUAAUACUCCCUAAAUUGGUUGACUAACCACUAUAAAAUCGCCAUUUUCUAGAAUAACGGAGACAAAAAAGGUUCCAAACCUCUUUGACCUUCAUCAUAUGUUAGUGAAUGAUGAAACUAUUCAUUAAAAUAGAAUUUUCAUUUUUUUUGAAUUUUUCUCAAAAUCUAUCGGUUAACCCUUACGAAAUAUUGAAUUUUUUCGGUAAAUGCUCUAUAUACUGAAGCCUAUGAUCUUUACUGUUGUUUUAAUAUUUAUAAACACAUUCUAUAUUUGAAUUAAUGUAUAUUAAACUCUCUUUCAUGGUACAUGGGCAUCGUUUAAAUUUUUCGUCAAUUAAUUUAGUAAAACUUCAUAAUACUCCCUAAAUUGGUUGACUACCACAACAAAAUCGCUAUUUAUCUAAAAAAACGGAGACAACAAAGGUUCCAAACCUCUUUUAUCUUGAUCAUAUGUUAGUGAGGGAUGCAACUAUGCAUUAAAAUAGAAUUUUCGUUUUUAUGAAUUUUUCUCAAAAUCUAUGGGUUAAACCCUACGAAAAUAUUGAAUUUUUUGGUAAAUGCUCUAUAUAUUGAAGCACAUUCUAUAUUUGUAUUAAUGUAUAUUAAAUCUAUUUCAUGGUACAUGGGCGUCGUUUAAAUUUUUUGUCAAUUAAUUUAGUUAAACUUUAUUAUACACUCUAAAUUGGUUGACUAACCAUUAUAAAAUCGCUAUUCUCUAGAAAAACGGAGACAACAAAGGUUCCAAACCUCUUUGUUCUUCAUCAUAUGUUAGUGAAGGAUACAACUAUGCAUAGAAUUUUCAAUUUUUUAAAUUUUUCUCACAAUCUAUGGGUUAACCCUACGAAAAUAUUGAAUUUUUCGGUAAAUGCUCUAUAUACUGAAGUAUAUGAUCAUUAAAGUUGUUUUAAAAUUUAUAAACACAUUCUGCAUUUGUAUUAAUGUAUAUUAAACUCUAUUUCAUGGUACAUGGGAGUCGUUUAAAUGUUUUGUCAAUUAAUUUAGUAAAACAUCAUAAUACUUCCUAAAUUGGUUGACUAACUACUAUAAAAUCGCUAUUUUCUAGAAAAACAGAGACAACAAAGGUUCCAAACCUCUUUGACCUUCAUCAUAUGUUAGUGAAUGAUGCAACAAUGCAUUAAAAUAGAAUUUUCAUUUUUUUUUAAAUUUUCUCAAAAUCUAUGGGUUAACACCCCUACGAAAAUAUUGAAUUUUUCGGUAAAUGAUCUAUAUACUGAAGCCUAUGAUCUUUACUGUUGUUUUCAAAAAUUUUAACACAUUCUGCUUUUUUACGAAUGUAUAUUAAACCCUAUUUCAUAGUACAUGUGCGUCGUUUAAAUUUUUUGUCAAUUAAUUUAGUAAAACUUCAUAAUACUCCCUAAAUUGGUUGAGUAACCACUAUAAAAUCGCUAUUCUCUAGAAAAACGAAGACAACAAAGGUUCCAAACCUCUUUAACCUUCAUCAUAUGUAAGUGAAGGAUGCAACUAUACAUUAAAAUAGAUUUUUUUUUUUUUUGAAUUUUUCUCAAAAUCUAUGGGUAACCCCUACGGAAAUAUUUAAUUUUUCGGUAAAUGAUCUAUAUACUGAAGCCUAUGACCUUUACUGUUGUUUUAAAAUUUCUAAACACAUUCUGAAUUUUUAUUAAUGUAUAGGAAACCCUAUUUCAUGGUACAUGUGCGUCGUUUAAAUUUUUUGUCAAUUAAUUUAGUAAAACUUCAUAAUACUCUCCAAAUUGGUUGACUAACCACUAUAAAAUCGCUAUUCUCUAGAAAAACGGAGACAACAAAGGUUCCAAACCUCUUUGACCUUCAUCAUAUGUUAGUGAAGGAUGCAACUAUGCAUUAAGAUAGAAUUUUCAUUUUUUUAAAUUUUUCUCAAAAUCUAUGGGUUAACGCCUACGAAAAUAUUGAAUUUUCGGUAAAUGCUCUAUAUACUGAAGCAUAUGAUCUUUAGUGUUGUUUUAAAAUUUCUAAACACAUUCUGCAUUUGUAUUAAGGUAUAUUAAACUCUAUUUCAUAUUACAUGUGUGUCGUUUAAUUUUUUUUGUCAAUUAAUUUAGUAAAACUACAUAAUACUCCCAAAAUUGGUUGACUAACCACAACAAAGUCGAUAUUCUCUAAAAAAACGGAGACAGCAAAGGUUCCAAACCUCUUUGACCUUCAUCAUAUGUUAGUAAAUGAUGCAACUAUACAUUAAAAUAGAAUUUUUGUUUUUUUGAAUUUUUCUCAAAUUCUAUGGGUCAACCCCUACGGAAAUAUUUAAUUUUUCGGUAAAUGCUUUAUAUACUGAAGCCUAUGAUAUUUGCUAUUGUUUUAAUAUUUAUAAACACAUUCUGUAUUUGUAUUAAUGUAUAUUAAACUCUCUUUCAUGGUACAUGAGCGUCGUUUAAAUAUUUUGUCAAUGAAUUUAGUAAAACUUCAUAAUACUCCCUAAAUUGGUUGACUAACCACUAUAAAAUCGCUAUUCUCUAGAAAAACGGAGACAACAAAGGUUCUAAACAUCUUUGACCUUCAUCAUAUGUUAGUGAAGGAUGCAACUAUGUAUUAAAAUAGAAUUUUCAUUUUUUUUAAUUUUUCUCAAAAUCUAUGGGUUAACCCCUACGAAAAUAUUGAAUUUUUCGGUAAAAGCUCUAUAUACUGAAUCAUAUGAUCUUUAGUGUUGUUUUAAAAUUUCUAUACACAUUCUGCAUUUUUCUUAAGGUAUAUUAAACUCUAUUUCAUGGUACAUGUGUGUCGUUUAAAUUUUUUGUCAUUUAAUUUAGAAAAACUACAUAAUACUCCCAAAAUUGGUUGACUAACCACAACAAAAUCGCUAUUCUCUAGAAAAACGGAAACAACAAAGGUUCCAAACCUCUUUGACCUUCAUCAUAUAUUAGUGAAGGAUGCAACUAUACAAUAAAAUAUAAUUUUUGUUUUUUUGAAUUUUUCUCAAAAUCUAUGGGUUAACCCAUACGAAAAUAUUGAAUUUUUCGGUAAAUGUUCUAUAUACUGAAGUAUAUGAUCUUUAGUGUUGUUUUAAAAUUUAUAAACACAUUAUGCAUUUGUAUUAAUGUAUAUUAAACUCUAUUUCAUGGUACAUGGGCGUCGUUUAAAUUUUUUGUCAAUUAAUUUAGUAAAACUACAUAAUUCUCCCUAAAUUGGUUGACUAACCACAAUAAAAUCGCUAUUCUCUAGAAAAACGGAGACAACAAAGGUUCCAAACCUCUUUGACCUUCAUCAUAUGUUAAUGAAGGAUGCAACUAUGCAUUAAAAUAGAAUUUUCAUUUUUUAAAAUUUUUCUCAAAAUCUAUGGAUUAACCCCUACAAAAUAUUUAAUUUUUCAGCAAAUGCUCUAUAUACUGAUACCUAUGAUAUUUACUGUUGUUUUAAUAUUUCUAAACACAUUAUGUAUUUGUAUUAAUGUAUAUUAAACUCUCUUUCAUUGUACAUGGGUGUCGUUUAAAUUUUUUAUCAAUUAAUUUAGUAAAACUACAUAAUACUUCCUAAAUUGGUUGACUAACCACAAUAAAAUCGCUAUUCUCUAGAAAAACGGAGACAACAAAGGAUCCAAACCUCUUUGACCUUCAUCAUAUGUUAGUGAAGGAUGCAACUAAAUAUUAAAAUAGAAUUUUUGUUUUUUUUAAUUUUUCUCAAAAUCUAUGGGUUAACCACCUCCUACGAAAAUAUGGAAUUUUUCGGUAAAUGCUCUAUAUACUGAAGCAUAUGAUCUUUACAGUUGUUUUAAAAUUUCUAAACACAUUCUGCAUUUUUAUUAAUGUAUAGUAAACUAUAUUUCAUGGUACAUGUGCGUCAUUUAAAUUUUUUGUCAAUUAAUUUAGUAAAACUUCAUAAUACUCCCUAAAUUUGUUGACUAACCACUAUAAAAUCGUUAUUCUCUAGAAAAACAGAGACAACAAAGGUUCCAAACCUAUUUGACCUUUAUCAUAUGUUAGUUAAGGAUGCAAUUAUGAAUUAAAAUAGAAUUUUCAUUUUUUUGAAUUUUUCUCAAAAUCUAUUGGUUAACCCCUACGAAAAUAUUGAAUUUUUCUGUAAAUGCUCUAUAUACUGAAGCAUAUGAUCUUUAGUGUUGUUUUAAAAUUACUAAACACAUUCUGCAUUUGUAUUAAUGUAUAUUAAACUCUAUUUCAUGGUAAAUGGGCGUCGUUUAAUUUUUUCGUCUAUUAAUUUUGUAAAACUUUAUAAUACUUCCUAAAUUGGUUGACUAACCACUAUAAAAUCGCUAUUCUCUGUAGAAACAGAGACAACAAAGAUUUCAAACCUCUUUGACAUUCAUCAUAUGUUAGUGAAGGAUGCAACUAUCCAUUAAAAGAGAAUUUUCAUUCUUUUAAUUUUUCUCAAAAUCUAUGGGUUAACCCCUACAAAAAUAUUGAAUUUUUCGGUAAAUGCUCUAUAUACUGAAGCAUAUGAUCUUUAGUGUUGUUUUAAAAUUUCUAAACACAUUUUGCAUUUGUAUUAAUGUAUAUUAAACUCUAUUUCAUGGUACAUGGGCGUCUUUUAAAUUUUUUGUCAAUUAAUUUAGUAAAACUUCAUAAUACACCCUAAAUUGGUUGACUAACCACAAUAAAAUCGCUAUUCUCUAGAAAAACGGAGACAACAAAUGUUUCAAACCUCUUUGACCUUCAUCAUAUGUCAGUGAAGGAUGCAACUAUGCAUCCUAAACACAUUCUAUGUACUGAAGCCUAUGAUCUUUACUGUUGAAUUUUUCGGUAAAUGCUCUAUAUACUGAAGCCUAUGAUCUUUACUGUUGUUUUAAUAUUUCUAAACACAUUCUAUGUUUGUAUUAAUAUAUAUUAAACUCUCUUUUAUUUUACAUGGGCAUCGUUUAAAAUUUUCGUCAAUUAAUUUAGUAAAACUUCAUAAUACUCCCUAAAUUUGUUGACUAACCACUAUAAAAUCGCUAUUCUCUAGAAAAACGGAGACAACAAAGGUUUCAAACCUCUUUGACCUUCAUCAUAUGUUAGUGAUGGAUGCAACUAUGCAUUAAAAUAAAAUAUUCAUUUUUUUGAAUUUUUCUCAAAAUCUAUGGGUUAACCCCUACGAAAAUAUCGAAUUUUUCGGUAAAUGCAUUAUAUACUGAAGUAUAUGAUCUUUAGUGUUGUUUUAAAAUUUAUAAACACAUUCUGCAUUUGUAUUCAUGUAUAUUAAACUCUAUUUCAUGGUACAUGAGCGUCGUUUAAAUUUUUUGUCAAUUAAUUUAAUAAAACUUCAUAAUACUCCAUAAAUUGGUUGACUAACCACUAUAAAAACUCUAUUCUCUAGAAAAACGGAGACAACAAAGGUUCCAAACCUCAUUGACCUUCAUCAUAUGUUAGUGAGGGAUGCAACUAUGCAUUAAAAUAAAAUUUUAAUUUUUUUGAAUUUUUUUCAAAAUCUAUGAGUUAAUAACCCCUACGAAAUAUUUAAUUUUUCUGUAAAUGCUCUAUAUGCUGAAGCAUAUAUCUUUAGUGUUGUUUAAAAAUUUCUAAACAAAUUCUGAAUUUUUAUUAAUGUAUAUUAAACUUUAUUUCAUGGUACAUGGGCAUCAUUUAAAUUUUUCGUCAAUUAAUUUAGUAAAACUUCAAAAUACUCCUUAAAUUGUUUGACUAACCACUAUAAAAUCGUUAUUUUCUAGAAAAACGGAGACAAAAAAGGUUUCAAACCUCUUUGACCUUCAUCAUAUGUCAGUGAAGGAUACAACUAUGCAUUAAAAUAGAAUUUUAAUUUUUUAAAAUUUUUCUCAAAAUCUAUUGGUUAACCCCUACGAAAAUAUUGAAUUUUUCGAUAAAUGCUCUAAAUACUGAAGCCUAUGAUCUUGACUGUUGUUUUAAUAUUUAUAAACACAUUCUAUGUUUGUAUUAAUGUAUAUUAAACUCUCUUUUAUUUUACAUGGGCAUUGUUUAAAAUUUUCGUCAAUUAAUUUAGUAAAACUUCAUAAUACUCCCUAAAUUUGUUGACUAACCACUAUAAAAUCGCUAUUCUCUAGAAAAACGGAGACAACAAAGGUUCCAAACCUCUUUGACCUUCAUCAUAUGUUAGUGAUGGAUGCAACUAUGCAUUAAAAUAAAAUAUUCAUUUUUUUGAAUUUUUCUCAAAAUCUAUGGGUUAACCCCUACGAAAAUAUUGUAUUUUUCUCUAAAUGCUCUAUAUACUGAAGUAUAUGAUCUUUAGUGUUGUUUUAAAAUUUAUAAACACAUUCUGCAUUUGUAUUAAUGUAUAUUAAACUCUAUUUCAUGGUACAUGUCCGUCGUUUAAAUUUUUUGUCAAUUAAUUUAGUAAACUUCAUAAUACUCCCUAAAUUGGUUGGCUAACCACUAUAAAAUCGCUAUUUUCUUGAAAAAACGGAGACAACAAAGGUUCCAAACCUCUUUGACCUUCAUCAUAUGUUAAUGAGGGAUGCAACUCUGCAUUAAAAUAGAAUUUUCAUUUGUUUUGAAUUUUUCUCAAAAUCUAUGGGUUAACCCCUACGAAAUAUUUAAUUUUUCGGUAAAUGCUAUAUAUACUGAAGCCUAAAAUCUUUACUGUUGUUUUAAUAGUUCUAAACACAUUCUAUGUUUGUAUUAAUGUAUAUUAAACUCUCUUUCAUUGUACAUGGGCAUCGUUUAUAUUUUUCGUCAAUUAAUUUUGUAAAACUUCAUAAUACUCCCUAAAUUGGUUCGGUAACCACUAUAAUAUCGCUAUUUUCUAGAAAAACGGAGACAACAAAGGUUCCAAACCUCUUUGACAUUCAUCAUAUGUUAGUGAGAGAUGCAACUAUGCAUUAAAAUAAAAUAUUCAUUUUUUGAAUUUUUCUCAAAAUCUAUGGGUUAACCCCUACGAAAAUAUCGAAUUUUUCGGUAAAUGCAUUAUAUACUGAAGUAUAUGAUCUUUAGGGUUGUUUUAAAAUUUAUAAACACAUUCUGCAUUUGUAUUAAUGUAUAUUAAACUCUAUUUCAUGGUAUAUGUCCGUCGUUUAAAUUUUUUGUCAAUUAAUUUAGUAAAACAUCAUAAUACUCCCUAAAUUGGUUGACUAACCACUAUAAAAACGCUAUUCUCUAGAAAAACGGAGACAACAAAGGUUCCAAACCUCUUUGACCUUUAUCAUAUGUUAGUGAAGGAUGCAACUAUACAUUAAAAUAUAGUUUUAGUUUUUUUGAUUUUUUUCUCAAAAUCUAUGGAUUAACCCCUACGAAAAUAUUGAAUUUUUCGGUAAAUGCUCUAUAUACUGAAGCAUAUGAUCUUUAGUGUUGUUUUAAAAUUACUAAAAACUUUCUAUAUUUGUAUUCAUGUAUAUUAAACUUUAUUUCAUGGUACAUGGGCGUCGUUUAAAUUUUUUGUCAAUUAAUUUAAUAAAACUACAUAAUACUCCCUAAAUUGGUUGACUAACCACUAUAAAAACUCUAUUCUCUAGAAAAACGGAGACAACAAAGGUUCCAAACCUCAUUGACCUUCAUCAUAUGUUAGUGAGGGAUGCAACUAUGCAUUAAAAUAAAAUUUUAAUUUUUUUGAAUUUUUUUCAAAAUCUAUGAGUUAAUAACCCCUACGAAAUAUUUAAUUUUUAGGUAAAUGCUCUAUAUGCUGAAGCAUAUAUCUUUAGUGUUGUUUAAAAAUUUCUAAACACAUUCUGAAUUUUUAUUAAUGUAUAUUAAACUCUAUUUCAUGGUACAUGGGCAUCAUUUAAAUUUUUCGUCAAUUAAUUUAGUAAAACUUCAUAAUACUCCUUAAAUUGUUUGACUAACCACUAUAAAAUCGCUAUUUUCUAGAAAAACGGAGACAAAAAAGGUUCCAAACCUCUUUGACCUUCAUCAUAUGUCAGUGAAUGAUGCAACUAUGCAUUAAAAUAGAAUUUUAAUUUUUUAAAAAUUUUCUCAAAAUCUAUUGGUUAACCCCUACGAAAAUAUUGAAUUUUUCGGUAAAUGCUCUUUAUACUGAAGCAUAUGAUCUUUAGUGUUGUUUUAAAAAUUUUAAACACAUUCUGCAUUUGUGUUAAUGUAUAUUAAACUCUAUUUCAUGGUACAUGUGCGUCGUUUAAAUUUUUUGUCAAUUAAUUUAGUAAAACUUCAUAAUACUCCAUAAAUUGGUUGACUUACCACUAUAAAAUCGCUAUUCUCUAGAAAAACGGAGACAACAAAGGUUCCAAACCUCUUUGACCUUCAUCAUAUGUUAGUGAAGGAUGCAACUAUGCAUUAAAAUAGAAUUUUCAUUUUUUUGAAUUUUUCUCAAAAUCUAUUGGUUAACCCCUACAUAAUAUUAAAUGUUUUUGGUAAAUGCUCUAUAUACUGAAGCAUAUGAUCUUUAGUAUUGUUUUAAAAUUACUAAACACUUUAUAUAUUUGUAUUCAUGUAUAUUAAACUCUAUUUCAUGGUACAUGUGCGUCGUUUAAUUUUUUUGUCAACUAAUUUAGUAAAACUUCAUAAUACUCCCUAAAUUGGUUGACUUACCACUAUAAAAUCGCUAUUCUCUAGAAAAACGGAGACAACAAAGGUUUCAAACCUCUUUGACCUUCAUCAUAUGUUAGUGAAGGAUGCAACUAUGCAUUAAAAUAGAAUUUUCAUUUUUUUGAAUUUUUCUCAAAAUCUAUGAGUAACCCCUACGAAAUAUUUAAUUUUUCGGUAAAUGUUCUAUAUGUUGAAGCAUAUAUCUUUAGUGUUGUUUAAAAAUUUCUAAACAGAUUCUGAAUUUUUAUUAAUGUAUAUUAAACUCUAUUUCAUGGUACAUGGGCAUCAUUUAAAUUUUUCGUCAAUUAAUUUAGUAAAACUUCAUAAUACUCUCUAAAUUGUUUGACUAACCACUAUAAAAUCGCUAAUUUCUUGAAAACGGAGACAAAAAAGGUUUCAAACCUCUUUGACCUUCAUCAUAUGUCAGUGAAGGAUGCAACUAUGUAUUAAAAUAGAAUUUUAAUUUUCAAAAAAAUUUCUCAAAAUCUAUUGGUUAACCCCUACGAAAAUAUUCAAUUUUUCGGUAAAUGCUCUAUAUACUGAAGCAUAUGAUCUUUAGUGUUGUUUUAAAAAUUUAAACACAUUCUGCAUUUGUGUUAAGGUAUAUUAAACUCUAUUUCAUGGUACAUGUGCGUCGUUUAAAUUUGUUGUCAACUAAUUUAGUAAAACUUCAUAAUACUCUCUAAAUUAGUUAACUUACCACUAUAAAAUCGCUAUUCUCUAGAAAAACGGAGACAACAAAGGUUCCAAACCUCUUUGACCUUCAUCAUAUGUUAGUGAAGGAUGCAACUAUGCAUUAAAAUAGAAUUUUCAUUUUUUUGAAUUUUUCUCAAAAUCUAUUGGUGUUACCCUACGAAAAUAUUGAAUUUUUUGGUAAAUGCUCUAUAUACUAAAGCAUGUGAUCUUUAGUGUUGUUUUAAAAUUACUAAACACUUUCUAUAUUUGUAUUCAUGUAUAUUAAACUCUAUUUCAUGGUACAUGUUCGUCGUUUAAUUUUUUUGUCAACUAAUUUAGUAAAACUUCAUAAUACUCCCUAAAUUGGUUGACUUACCACUAUAAAAUCGUUAUUCUCUAGAAAAACGGAGACAACAAAGGUUCCAAACCUCUUUGACCUUCAUCAUAUGUUAGUGAAGGAUGCAACUAUGGAUUAAAAUAGAAUUUUCAUUUUUUUGAAUUUUUCUCAAAAUCUAUUGGUUAACCCCUACGAAAAUAUUGAAUUUUUUGGUAAAUGCUCUAUAUACUGAAGCAUAUGAUCUUUAGUGUUGUUUUAAAAUUACUAAACACUUUCUAUAUUUGUAUUCAUGUAUAUUAAACUCUAUUUCAUGGUACAUGAGCGUCGUUUAAAUUUUUUGUCAAUUAAUUUAAUAAAACUUCAUAUUACUCCAUAAAUUGGUUGACUAACCACUAUAAAAACUCUAUUCUCUAGAAAAACGGAGACAACAAAGGUUCCAAACCUUAUUGACCUUCAUCAUAUGUUAGUGAGGGAUGCAACUAUGCAUUAAAAUAAAAUUUUAAUUUUUUUGAAUUUUUUCUCAAAAUCUAUGAGUUAAUAACCCCUAUGAAAUAUUUAUUUUUUUCGGUAAAUGCUCUAUAUGCUGAAGCAUAUAUCUUUAGUGUUGUUUAAAAAUUUCUAAACACAUUCUGAAUUUUUAUUAAUGUAUAUUAAACUCUAUUACGAGUACUUAUUACUUAUAACAGAAUUAUAAAGACUAACUGGGAAAAUACCUACUCUUUCUAACACAAUUUAUACAGACAAAAACCAUGAGAUUUGAGCUCAAAAUCCUGCCAAAAUUCUCGCCAUCGACGAGUCAUUUGCUGGACCAAACACCUCUAUAUCACGUGAUGCAGACUUAUAGAUUUUGAUAUCCAAUAUUAAAACUAAAGAUACGUAGUUUUCUCUUCAUCUUAUAUGUUUAUUUAGAGCUUAUAUAGUUGAUGACCAAAAAUGCCACCAUGGGUAAUUGCUGCUAGAUUGGUCCAAGAUAUUAGUAUUUGUUUUGAAACCUCUCCAGUCAACAGAUGAUGUCAAGCAACUAUCAGCUGGUUCCACAAUGUUCAUCAAAUGAUCUGCUUCUUCUUCAAACCCACCAAAAUACUCUCUCUUGAUGUGGCUAUUGUACCCAUAAUCAUCAUGAUGACCCUUCUCAUACACCUCCAUCUCUGGCCUAACCUCCUCCGGUUCGGGCUUCGUGUUCUCUUCCUUUUCUGAUUCAUGAUCCGUGCUGCUUAGAGCUACCACCGUUUGAUCACCACAACACUCUCUUCCCUCGUCUUGCUUUGUCUGAAUCGCCUCGUUUAGUCUAUCCAACUGCAUACAAGUUAAAACAACAGCUGAUCAAUAAUAUAACCAUUAAAACAGAGCUUUAUAAUAGCCCCUAACCACGGUAUGUAUAUAACCAUUAAUCAUGUUAAGAACUUAAUAUUACCUCGGAGACUAAACCUUGAUUUUCUUUCUUGAGUGACUCAAACUGAGAAGCCAAGUCGUUGUAGUUUUGUCUGAGAAUGUUGAACUCUGUCUCUAGCUGCUUAGAUUUCCAACGAGCCCUCUUGUUCUGAAACCAUAUAGCCACUUGCCUAGGCUGCAAGCUAAGCUCUCUCGCUAACUGAACCUUCUUCCUUGGCUCAAGCCUCGUCUCAGACUCGAACAUCAUCUCCAGUGAUUUGAUCUGCUCGUCGCUAAACCUUCUCUGAUUUUUCUCGUUGUGACUGCUCUUCUUUAUCUUCUUCAUGGUCAUGAAAGGAUCUGCUGACAUCAUCCCUAAGAUGAUUUAUGAUUUUUGUUGCAUCUUUUUUUUUUUGGAAUCUCUGUUUUUGUGUUGCUGGUUCUCUAUAUAUAUAUAGAUGUGUAGAGGCUGAAAUUUUUAUGUUAAAAUUUGAUGAUAUUAUUAGUUUUUCGAAUUUCGAUUUAGGGGUCAUUUGUAUAUAAUAAGAUCUAAAUUUUAGGUUACUUUUGUAAGUUUUAUAUUCUUUUUUAGCUAAACGAUUUGUGUGUCGACAAGUAACAACAAUAGGGGCGGAUUUUGGCUGCUUAUAGAGUCGUCGUUGUCACUGGUUAUGUCGAGUUUCAUUUCAACGCAAACUUAUCAUCUAACUCCGGAUCAAGAAUUUUUCUACCUUUUUAUUUUCUUAUAUCUUUCGAUAACUCUUAUUUUAUGAAGCUUUCUUAUAAUAUUAUUUCUAAAUUUGUUUUUCCAAAAUUAUCUUCUUGGGUGAUAGAAUUUACAACGCCUCUUUUUCUUCUUGGGAAAAUAACUGGUUUUACGUUUAUAACGCCUCUUUGUAUAGUGAAGCAAAAUUUUCUUUAAGAAAGCGAUCGAGGUUGCCCAUUACCGCACACGUAAAAACUCCCGUGCAAGUCAGUUGUGGUGAAGUUUUUCUUGGGCAAAUCAUUUGUGAAGUUUUUCACCAAAUGGAGUGAUAUGUGUUUUUAACAAAAAAGCGUUUUAAUAAUUCUUCAGGAAUCAAGAUUUCAAAAUAUAUUUUUGUUAUGUUUUACCUUUUCUUCAAAAAUAAAAAAAGAAAUUAUGCUCGUCAUACAAAAAUUAAUAGAAGACCAGACUUUUAUGUUUAUUUCAAACAGGAAACAAGAUCAUAGACUUUGUUUCUUCACGGUAACGACAACGAUAAUAAUUUAACAAAUAUUAGUACUAGUAAUGUGAAAACCAGCUUUUAUUCUUGCUUUUGUGAUUAGUUUACGGUUUACGUACCCCUUUGCUUGUCGGAGAUUAUUUUGCCUAAUUAAUACAAACAACCAAUUAAAUUGGGCCAUCGAGGCGUGACAUUUACAAACCCUAGUUUUAUGUAAUACAUAAAUCUGACCCUUGGAAGAAAGGAAAAAUAUUUGACAUGGUAAAAAUAAAAUAAAGAAUUAAUGUCAUUUCAAUUGAAAUUUCUCUCUAUAUCUAAGAAAACAUGUAAAUUAGAUUGAAAAUUUUGAGAAGUUGCGAUCAAAACCAUCAGGUUCGGCCACUGAAAACUAGCCAACUAGCCAACUAGUUGUAAUCAGAGAAUGAGAGAUCUUUGCUUUGGGACAUCAAAGUUGACAGAAAGAUGACGUGGCUGUUGAUUUAUGGUGGUGCCUGACUAUUUUUGUCCAGCAAAAGGACAGACGUGUCGCGGUUAACUUAAAUAUCGCAUGUCUAUUUCUUAUAAGAGCCGUAGCCGUAGGAGAAGACAAAUGCUUCAAAAAGAAAAUUCAGUGUAUUUAAUUUCGGAAAAGACGGUUCAUUGUCUUGUUUAUAUCUGCAAGCUCCUCGACUUGCCGCGUGUAAUUUUACUUCUGCUUAUAUGUUUACAAUCAAUCAAGAUUUCUAGGUUUAGAUUAUCAUUUAUCAGUAUGGUGUCACGUUUGCUAAGUGUUUUGUUUUUAUUUGAACGCAAGAUAUACCCUUUGUUUCUUUAGCAACAAAGAAAAGAAAAUCUACCCUAACGAGUGAAGAUAGCUUGUUUCCUAAUGGAAUAAACGUUUUGUGAAACAACUAUAAUGGUUCUGUGAAACAACUCUAAUCAAUAAAAAAAACUAUGGUCCAUCGAUUACUAUAUUUUUGACAUACAUCCUACCUGCUAUCCUAGUAGUCUUUGCAAGACUUUUAACCUAUCUUAGUUUAUAGAAAGAUUAUAAUAUUACCUCCACAUAAAAUAUGUUUAACAGUUAACGUCAUUUAAUCCUUCCAGCAUUUUCCCGUUUCCCACAACUGUUUACAGGUUAUACGUCUCUGAUUCUUGAAGUCUAUCUUACAAUUAAGAUCUAAAUGUUUUCGGAAAACCUUGCAUAAUUAUGGAAUUGUAUUUCUUAGUGUGAUGUACAGUUUAUCAUUAAUUAAACAUGUCAUCUUGAGUACCUACUACAAACUAAACAUUGACACAUAUUUAUUUUAAAUAUUUUUUGUUGAACAUUAAGGACGUUAAUGUUAAUCUCUUACUCAUGUCUUUGUUAUAAAUUACGAUCGAGGAUAUUUAGUGUCGUUAUAUACUUUUCAUGAAUUUGAUUGUACAUUUUUUUAAUUUUCAUUUAUGUCUCUAGCUACUAAUAGCAAGCAAAAGAAUAUUUUUAAAAAAAUAAUUCUGGAAUGAACAGUAAAAUUAAAUCAUGUAUUUCCCCCAAUGGACAAUAAUAUUAUAAAACAACAUUCGACCUUUUCCCUGCAAGAUUAACAAAUUUUAUUGCGAGAAACUACUAUUUAACUCGAUUAUGUAACCUGAAUAUUUGAUGGUGUCGAUACAUGGGGAGUGCCAACGUGGUGCCAAUGAGGAAGUGACAUUUCGCACCGUCUUUAAAAAAAGCUUAUCUUUUCCUGAUAAUAUUUUAUAGAAUAAAUGGAUGAAAAUAAAUAUCUAAUUGCUUUGGCCAAACUGAUCACUUGUUUUAUGAUGUUAUCAUCAUUCAUCAGAAUGAAAUAAUUAUCGGACAAUUUAAGCGGCCAGCAAGCGUAAGUACCCUACUUCUUCAGCCACUACUGCUAACUUAUCAACGGCGUCUCCUUCGCUAUUCCAUUUUUUCUUAUAAAAUAGAGUAAAAAUAAAUAUAGAGUAAAUAAUGAUCUAACUCAACUUCAUAUCUCACUCCAUAACAAAAUUUACUCUUUAAAUAGAGUAAUCUAUUUUUUUUUGUUCAUCACUCCAUUAUGAAGUGGGAAAUGAAGUAGGAUUGGAGCAAUUUUACUUCAUUUUCACUUUUACUCUAUUUUAAAGCAAAAAAUUGAGUUUUACAUUGGAGAUACUCUAAUACUAAAUGAUGUUGGAAAAUAAAACGGCUUGACUUUUCUUACCAGAGUAAAGGCAUCUCCUAACCGUAUACACAUUUUUUCUAUAUUUUAUCUAAAAUAGGGUUGAAUUUGUUUCAGUGGUUCACUUUAUAAUACACAAUAACUAUAUUAUAAAGUAAACCAUUGGAGCAAAUUCAACUCUAGAAUAUAAUUAUUCUAUUUAAAAAUGAAAUAUAGAAAAAAAAAAUUGUGUUCCAUUAGAGAUUGUUUAACUAAACAAGCAAAUCUGUUUUCAAAGUUACUUUUUACAAUAAAUAUAGGUUUAAUAUGUUAGAUAUUAGUAUAUUAUUACAGCUUUAAAAAAAAAUCCGGAAGAUAACAAUAUAAAGGAGCAAUAGUUAAUGAUCCUGUUCAAAGGAACCGUGACUCGUCGAAAUGUGGCCUCAGCUCUCGUAGCAGAGGCGAUGGCUCUUAAAACAGCACUCUUGGAAGCUGUCUCUCAUGGUCUAACAGACAUAAUCUGUUUUUCAGAUUCUAAGUGUCUAAUUGACCUCAUCACAGGAAAGAAAACUGUGGUGGCUCUGCAAGGAUUACUCCAUGACUUCGGCGUGUUGAGUGACUCUUGUAACUCUAUCUCAUUUUAUUUUAUCUCUUGGGGUUGCAAUGAAGCUGCAGACGCUCUAGCUAAAAAUGCUCUGUUUUGUAUGUCCAACAACCCAUGUGGGGAGACUCUUUCUGUUGUAAACUCUGUUUUUUAAGUUGAAAUGAAGAAGGUUUGACCAAAAAAAGUUAAUGAAGCUGAUGAGUGAUAGGACGUGAACGAAUUUAUACGUAUUAAAAUUUUCUUUUUCUUGUUUGGUUACCUUUCUUCGUGGAAAGACAAGUACAUUCAUUCUAUCUGUAAGAUUUAAUUAAUUUCUUAAUUUGCCAUAACUAUCUAAAGUAGUAAGUAUAUUAUCUAUAGAAACUGUUAAUUACUUAAUUGUAUUAGUCAUGGAAGCUAACCAAAGAUUAGAUUAGGUGUGACGUGUGAGAUGGUUUUUAGUGCAGACUUUCUCGGAUCAAAGACCUUCACUUGCUUUAGUGCAGAUGGUUUUUAGUCAUGUUAAUUUGUUAUCUUGCUUUAGUUCAAUCUAUUUCCACCACCGAAACCAAAUUUUGAAUAUUAGUUCGAUCCCGAAAUCAUGCUUCUCUUACUCUAGUCUCCAGUGUAUGUGUGUAAUCUUUUUAUCUUUUAAAAAAUAUAAACGGCUUAUAAAAAUAAGCGAAGAAAAAGAGAGUAUUAUGUCUUUCUUGUUUUGUUGACAAAAAAAUGUCUUUCUUGUUUUAGAAAGUCCAUCAUAGAUGCUAGAGGCCCAUUAUCUCUUGGCAAUUUAUAAAACAAAGGAAAUUCUGUUGGGGUCCUCUUAAGUGAACUUAGAAGCCCACGAUACUUACAAUUGGCAUAUAGAUAUUUAUGGAUGUCAUAAUCACAUUUCAUAAUCAAACCAAAAUGAACCCAUAAGAUAUGUAGUCGUUAUGUAGAUUGUUCUGGACUAAAAUAUUAUCCACUAUAAAGUUAGUAUUAAUCAAUCAUCGAUAAAUGACUUCCACACUUAUAAUAUAAUGCGAGUAUUGACUAUGAUCUCAUGUAAAUUUUUGCUAUUCUUUUUUGGUCUAAAUGUUAAAUAAAUUUUUGCAAUUAACAAGAAGAUUUUUCACAGUUUAUUUAUAAUAUUUUUCGGCCAGAAGUAUAAAUGUAUAAUACGCAAAAUCGUGACAUAUUGUAUUUUUUUGUUUUAUGAGUUUGGAUAUAGCACUUAUUAAAUGUAUAUUUUCUGGUAUAGCUCUAAUGAGGCACCAAAACACUAAAAUUGGCGUAAUCCUACAUGCUGGUCGGCAUUGUAUUUGUACGUACACACGUAAAACAAACGUAUAUUCUCACACAUAUAUGAGAUAUGUGUAUGUGUGGAGAUGAAGAUUGAUGGAAAAAUAUUGAAGAAAAUGGUUAAAAGAACAGUGAAUAAAAGUUUUGACAAGUAAGGGUCUCAUUAGUAGUUUUGAAUUAAAGGAAAUAUCAUUUUUUCAGAUGCGGUUAUGUGUCAUUGCAUUUUCUACACACACGCAUAAGUAAUUUGUUUUAAAUAUUAUUAAAUUUUAAGAGAUUUCAGCAAUUUGAAAAAUGGUUGCAAGUAGAAUUUCAGUAGUGGCAUAGAAAGGUGUUGUUCUCGUGAUUGACCGGUCAAAUAAGUUUAUUUCUUACGUGGAAAAUAAAAUUCAUCCGUCCAAAUUAAUAAAAAAAAUAAACAUAGCUAUUGGUAAUUUGGUAUAGAAUAGAUGAAUGAAGUAAAAUAUGUAAAUAACCGAUCAACGAUGCAACAAUUAGUUAGGAAAAAAAAGAUGUAGCAAUUAGAAUGCCCUCAGUCAAAAAAAUGUAACAAUUAAUUACAUUUGUUGCAUAAAGGAAUGUAAGAAUGGCCAACGUGGGUUCGGAUAUGCAGUUUGACAUGACGUCGUCUCUCUCUCACACUCGGAUACAACACAAAACACAACUCUCAAAGACAAAAACGUUGAAAUGUGUAGCCGGAAUCGUCUUCUCCAUUUGUCAUUAUCAUCCACAGUUUUUACCUAUUUCUCAUAGUCGACGUGGAGAAAUUCAUUACAUUUUCUUGGACACUAGCAAAGGUAAACAAAAUGUUGCAGCACUUGUCGCGGGCACUCUCUUGCUUUUAGCUCUUCAAUGGGAAAAAGAGAGAAAGAAUGAAAGAAAUAUUUUUUCCUUUAAUUUUAGGAAUGUGAUGAAUGAUGUACCAUUUAUAUUUACAAAUAUAAAUGAGAAAAUGACAUAUCAAAAUGUCAAUGCACCAAAAUUUUCCAAAUACCUACUAAAGAUUCUUUGUUUUUUUAAAUCUAAUUAGGAUCUAAGUACUUUGUAUUACAGCGGGCUUAAUUGAUUUGCUUGAGUUAGAAUGUCGAUUGUAUUUGUUUUGACUCUUGUUACAAAAUGACAACUAUUAAAGCAAUAAAAACACACAAAGAAAAAGUAGGUUUGAACUAGUUGACUAAUUGACAUAACUUUAUUUCAAAAGCGAGUCACAAAAAAUAUUAAAUUUUCAGAAUAAAUUUAAAACUAUUAUUAGUAACUUUUUAUAAAAUUUAUGUUAAAAUUUAUAAAAUAUAUAUCAUAUAAAAAAUCUGAUCACCCUUAACUAGUAAAAAUGGGAGGACACAAAAAAUUGGAUGCGAGACCAAUGGUACUGUUUACCCCAUCUAAACCGGUACUACUUAUACUGUUAAAAAUGGUAAAAUGAAAUUUGAGAAAAAACUGAAUUUUGAAUAUUGAAUGAUUCUUAAAUAUUGUAAGCUAUCAACAAAAAAUGCAAGAAACUAUUGGCAAAAGUUCAAAGCAAAAAAAAAAUGCAUUGGUUUUUAAAAAAAAUUGUUUGUAGAAAAAGAGAUUGAAAAUUACAACUAGAUAAUACCUAUAUACAUGUCCAUUGUCCAUACGUGUCCCCCAUUUUUGUAUAACAAUGUUAUGACUGAUCAUUUAAUAUAAAAGGAACUUAGUAGGAAAAAAAAAGAUAAUACCUAUAUAUUAAUAAUAUUUCAUAUGUUCCCGAAAGUAAGAUAAUUUAGAUUUUUUACUUAUUCCACAAAGAUAUAUUUUAUAUAUGUUUAAGGUACUUUUUAUAUUUUUAAGAAACAUUAAAUGAAAAUAUUUGAAUUGAUUAAAUUUCAUUGGUGAAAAGUUAUUGAAAAGUGUAUAAUAAAAAAAAAUUAAGUUAUAAAUAUUUAUUGAAUUCUUAAUAAGCGUGAAAACUUUACAAAAUUUUACUUUCAGGAACAUAAAGAGUAUUACACUAUAGCUUUAAAAAAAACAGUUUAGCUGAGAAAAGUAAAGAAAUAAGAGACUGUUGAGCUUAAUUAUUGCGUGAGAUAGAAUAGUUAGAACUGCCAGUUUCAUUAAAGUAAUUUGAUUUGUUUCGUGAAAACAAUGCACAGACAUAUUAAAUCUCUCACUAAAUCUCGAGAAUAAGAGUAUUAAUGAUUGUUUAUAGAAAAGAGUAUUAAUGAUUGAUUAAUGAAUAACCAGAUUUGCUUCUUUUUCUUCCUUCUUGACCAAAACGUUUACUGUUAUAAAACAUGACGAAGACAUCUUGUCUACGUCGUUAAAUUGAAAUCAAUCAAAGUAAACGUUUUCUUAUAUUUUGAGAAAAAGCAAAAAAAAAAAAAUUUUGAAACUUUUUGCCCAGUAAAAAUUAAAAUCUAAGUCGAAUACAUUAAAUUUUCAAAAAAACUUCAAAUUUAAUCAAAAGCAAAAUUCUAAAAAACUACUAAUAACUGAAUGUUUGCACGAGAAACAGUAUUUAAGUAAACCUAAGAUGCUAAAUAGACGGUGACCCAAUGCCUAGCAUCUAAAAUGAUUAAAUGGACACCUAGUUAAACGGCAUAGGCAUUUAUAAAUUAUAAAUAUAUAUUAAAUAUAUGGAAUAUUUUAUAUUAAUAUCAUUAUUUAUAAAUAAAGAAUUUUAUAUUAGUUAUUUUUAUAAGAGUUAUAUAUCAUAAUAUAUUAAUUAUUAUAAUUUAUAAAUUAGUAAGUAAAAAAUUAUUUAUUAAUACAAUAUUGUAAUUGUCUAGACGAGUUGGAAGGUAAUCGCCACGGUAUUACAAGGUCUAGUGCCUAAGAGUCGCCUAUACCACUUUUUUGGAACACUGCCAACAAGGUAAUCAAGUAGUCAAUUCUCUUUAUAGCAAAUAAACAAAAGAAGUUUUUUUUUGGUAAAAACAAAAGAAAAAAAAAAGUUGUAAACCCUUCAUCGUGUAAAAUUAAAGGUCACAUGAUGAAGGCACCAAUAAUAAUUUCUAUCUAUACAAAAGUGUACGACAAAUGACAAUGCGGAGAUUUUGAGUUAAACCACAAAAAAGUUCUCGAGGGAAAUGAGCAACGAAAAAAUUAGUAUUCUAUGGACCAUUUCACGAAGCUCAACUACUCGAAACUUGCAAUUAGUUAAAAUGAUAAACGAAUUCUAAAAUAUACUGUAUUAUACUGAUAAAACCUCGAAUUGUCGGUAAAAACACACUUAUUCUAAUAAUUUCGUAAAAUGAUUACUGCUUAAAUUCGGCUUGUGAUUUAAGUAUUAGACAAUAAUGUUUCUUAGAGUAUGAUUAACCAUAAUUUUUUAACUGGAGUUAUUAACUUAUUAUUUGACAUUUUUUAUAUUUUUUAGCUAAGAAACUGUUCUAAUAUCUUUUAUUUAAGAGAUGAUUUUUAAAUUUUCUUAGAUUUUAAUUUUUUUUAGUUAAAAUUUUAAUUAAAAUCUAAGAAAAAUUAAUAACUGAUUUUUAGCCGAAACUAAAAAUUCUAAUUAAAAACUGAGGUUAAUGAUGGUCUUACUUUUUUACAAUGAGUCAAACCUUUUCAUAUAUCCCAUCACACUUUAAAUGAAGCGUUCGCUAUGAUCCUUCGUAUUAUAGAUGAGACAGCUCAUUCGUGAUAACUAUAUUAAUUCGUCAUAAAUGGUAGAAUCACCGUUGUAAGUUCUCUUGUUUAGCAUUUUAUAUUCGUAUAUAUAUGAUGUAAACUGGUGUUAUAUAUAUUACGGUGGUAUUUGGUUAUAUUUUGAAGCCGUGUUAUUUUUAUAAAAAAAAUUGUUCUCCUUCUGUUUCAUAGUAUUACUUUAUUGUUGUUGUUGUAAAACAAUUUUUUGUUAUAAAUAAAUUUCGUUUUAAGAAUUUUAAUACAAUUUUAUUUUUUAAUUUAUGUAAAAUAUGGUUAGAUAUAUAAAUGAUGAUAUUUUUAAAAAUACACAAAUUAAAUAUUUUCAAAAUUUGUGUGAAGAAAUUUGAAAUGACACUUAUGGAAUACAUCCUUUUAAAAUAUCCAAAGAAAAGUUAUCUUUGUUUGACAAAAUCUGAAAAAAACUAGCGAAUUAAGAGCAUCUCCAAAAAAGAACUCUAUUUUGAAGUUUCCAAAACUUUAUAUUUGAAGUUUCAAUGUGUUCUUCUCCAAAAGUAAAACUUCAAACCUAACUUCAAAAUUAUUUAUAUUUUACACUAUGAUCCUUAUAUUUGUCAUAGUUGAUGUAAAUUCAUAAAACUUCUAUAAAUAACUAAUACAUAUAUAUAAAUAUUACAGAAAUAUUAAUUAAAAAAAAUCUUACACUAAAAUAUAAAAUUAUAAAUAAAAGUACAUAAUUAAAUAUUAAACUGCAAGCAAAUAUUACAUUAUUGCAUAAAAUUAUUUCCAUAAUGCUCCCAUAUAUGAUCAACUAGUGCAUUUCGAAGUAAGAAAUUAUUCUCUUUAUUUUUUAUUUGUAGAUUACGAGCCAAAAAUUGUUGAAACCGGAUAUCCUCAAAAUAUGUCUUCUGAUAGUUUGAUAUCAUCAAACGAAAAAAUCCUUGAUCUUUUAAACGAAAGUACAACAAGCAGGGAAAAAGGUCAUGAGAUGAUUGAAUUACGACUGCAAAAUGAAGCAAAAAAGUUAGCUUUUAAAGAAAUAAAAGAGGAAAAUAAAAUAUUGCUAAAAAACUUAGCUUCUAUCGAUGAUGUUAAUAUUCGUGAAUACAUUCGAUGUGAACAAAAAAGAAUCAUACGAAAAAUGCGUCAAGAGCAACAACAACAAUCAUCUUCGGUUACACAAAAUUUGUUGAACAAUAUUUUGGAGAUUUUGGAGGUUCCGGAGCAAAUUUACUAGACUAUUAGUGUUGUUAUAAUAUUUAAAUUUGUGUAAUAAUUAUGUCUUCAUGUGUCUUUUUAAUAAGUUUUUAUUAUGGUUUUUUGUAAUAUUCUUGUUGUUUAAUUCUUGUUUUAAUUUUUUUAAUUUAAUUUCAUGUGUAAAACUUAAGUCUAUAUAACAAAUUUGAAAUAUUUAUGAGAUAUAAAAGUUUUAAGGAUUAAAACAAUAAACAAAAAAAAUAUUUAAGAAUUAUAAAUAUGAUGUAUAAUUGUAAGGACCAAAAUGCAAAUAAAAAGAUGAAACUUCAAAUUUGAAGUUUUGAAAAGUGAAACUCUAUAUUUGGAGUUUCACUCUUCAAAACUUCAAAUUUGAAGUUUUGAAAUUCCUUUUUGGAAAGCAAAAAACUCUAUAUUUGGAGUUAUAGAGUUUCUUUUGGAGAUGCUCUAAAAAAAGGUGAAGCAAUUAAAAUAACAAAAGAAACAAAAAAAAGGUGAGAGACAAUAAAUGAAGAAUGCUGGUAUUGGGCAGAUCAAUAACUCAACCACUCCUCUGACUAACUUUUAUAGUCACUCCUUUACCACUUUUUGAUUCCCUUUCUCAUCUUAAUUCUCAUAACUUAUUUUCUGUUCGUAGUCUUUGUACCUUUCCUACUUUUUUCGUUUCUCUUUCACCCCUCUUACGCGGUUCCUCUAAUUUCUUUUUAUUAUUUUCAUGUUCCUGGGACCAUAGGGUUGAAACAAUAAUUUUUUGGGUAAUAGCUAGUCAACGUAAAUCAAUUAUAGUGUUGGCGAUUGAGUUAUUAAAAUUUUGAGACUGUAAACUGGUAACAGAUGCAGAACAAGAUGCUCUUAUAUCUCCUAUUAAAAUGCAAUUAUUUGGUUGAAAAUAGCUUAGUAAAACAUUUGUAUUAGAUACUUGAUUUGAAAGAUUUUUGUAAGUAGGCUCAACUCAAUAUAGCAUUAGUGGAAGAUAUGGGAACUUAGAUUUUAUUUUUGCUAGAACAAGUAAUAACAUAGUAAAUGAGAAUCCAGUGACAUGUCUCAAAAAGUAAAUCCAAUGUUUUUACUGCGAUAUCUUGAAAUUUGAAAGAGAGAGGGACAGAGAGUGUGGGGACCAGAGACACCCAUGUUUCUUGUCUUGUUUAUCUUUGGUUCUCCACUAAAUUUCUUCAUAAAAAGCCCUUUUUAUUUCUUGAUUCUCUCUUCUAUCAUCACCACUCACUUAUCUUCUUCUCCAUCUCGUCUCUCUCUCUCUCUCUCUGUUUCUCUCUUGAUCUUAGCCGGGUCUUGUGGGAGGAGCAAACCGAUAGAGAGAUAAUUUUAGAUCAUUAUAAACCAUACAAUGAUUCUUCGAGGGAAGGGGCUUUCUCUUUUGAGGGGAAUGUUGUUUGGCUCGAAGACUCUAGCUUAUCAUGUUAGAUCUUCUUCGAUUUAAUCGAAUCAAACCUCCAUGUUUGAGAUCUGAUUUAGGAUUUUAGGGUCGUCGGACCAGGCUUCAUUCCCCCCAAUUAUUGCUCCCUGCUUACUCUCCAACGUACCCUUUUUCUUAAUUUAGGGUUUCAGAUCUUGUGGUUGAACCCUUUUUAAAGGUUUGAUAUAUUACCUUUGCUUUCUUGGAUUCUGUUACAUGUUUCAUUGAUCAAUCCUUACAUUAAAAUAAUUUUUUGGUCUUUUGGGACCGGUAGAAAAAUAAGUUUCAGGUAUUUGCAGAUUGUUGUAAUGAUGGAAGAAACUGACUUUCUUACUCUUGGAAUUUGCAAGUGUCAUCAUUACAACCUUUAGGUUUUGAUUACUUUUUUCUGCGCUGCUAUGAUUGUGUUAUGAUUGCCUUUUUUUUUUGUCAGGUAGAAUAAAGUUAUAGGACUGGAUCUUCAUUGUCAUGCAUGAUGAUGAAAGUAUAGUUUCUCUGUCUGUUUCUUACCACACCAGAUCCACUAGAUUUGGAUCUUAAUAACUUUCUACAACACAACUAGCUAGGGCUUUCUGGAUUUUCUUCUGGAAAUUAAUUAAGAAUUUAUAUAUGCAAAGACAAUAUUGAACUAAUACUUUUAAUUAUAAGGAUAUCUUAUGCAGAUACUUUUGCAUGCGAAGAUCAGUAUCUUGAUUCUGGAUAUCGUUUCUCCUUCUAAAUUACCCGCACAAUACAUCUUGUAACCAUUUUCAUAUAUUACUCAAAUGUGAAAAGAUUUCGUUGUCUCAUAGUUAAGCUUAAUCUUGUAUAUGAUAUAGUGGUCUUACUUAAUUAUAUUUCUAUUAUAUAAUUACAUUUGGAGUAUUAUAUUUAUAUCAUCUGUUCGUCAAGAGUUGUUUUACUAUAUAUCUUACAUCUUUCACUUAUGUAACGAAGAUUCUUCAAUCCAGCUUUAUUCUUGAAAUCAUAUCCUCCAAAUGUACCAUAAACAGGCUACGAUUCCAGAUAUUUUUUGCACCAGGCAAAGUCUACCCAAAAGGGAGAGAUAAAUUAAGUUAAUAAAUCAUAUCCUCCUAAUGUGCGCUAUCACGUAAAUGAACAGAAUUAAGGGUAAUGGAAAUUUAGAGUAGUACCAUUGCCCAUCGAGUUUCAUACUUACGCAUUUUCUUUGUUAAAUUUAUAUUUUGAAAUUGAUAAACACUUAUAACAAGUUUAAAUCGAAGAAACAAAAUACAUCGAUGGGUGUCUUAAAAACACUAGUAUUAAAUCUCAAAGUUAUGGCUUUUUGGGUCGUCCUAAAGUUUUUCACGGAUUACACGAAUUUCCAUGGCUCAUCGGAAUUACAAUUGUUUCUACUAUGUACUUUUAACCGAAGACUUUGACCAUAUGUUUUUUUCUUCUACGUUUUCAGUGCCUUUCCUCCUAAAAUUACCGGCUAGGCUUUUUGGGUCAACUUUUUUUGUUUGUUUCUCAGUUGUAUAAGGACAUUUAUUUAGAGAUAAAUAUAAGGGGCAUUGUCAAUUGUCAAUCAAUGAAAGGUAGCUAUCCUAAAAAUUUACCACGGUGAUAUUUGUUAAUAUUAAAAAUAGUGCAUUACCGUUUAUGUAUGUUUUAUUCCUACCAUAUUCCAAUAAAGAUCGAUGGCCUGCAUUAUUCACAGAAGUAUAUAUAAUUGGAAGAGGUAGGAUACUUAGGACAUCGAUCUUUAUUGGGCCAAUACUGGCCAUCAUAUUGGCUUAGCCCACAAUACUUUAUUUAAUUAACAUGUACCAUUACCGUUUCCGUGGUUCAACGUUAUAGUUGUGAACUUAUGAAUUGUAAACCACUAUUCACUUUUAGCCCAUUGGCUUAGCCCACAAUACUUUAUUUAAUUAACAUAAGUACCAUUACCGUUUUUCUCUUAUUUUCCUUUUCAAUGUACCAGAUCCCUGUCACUACCACCAACGUAGACGGCCACGUUUCCAUAGUCCGGUAGACUAAGUCGAUUACAACAAAUACUGAUAAGCUAACAUAACUAAACCAUAACGAAAAAUAGAAAUGACUAAAGAAAAAAAAAUCGUAAAAAAUAUUCAUUUAUAAAAGUCCGCGAAAGAACUCAAAUAAGUCAAAAUCAACAUUGAAGAACCUAACUAAUGGAUUUUUAGAACAGUUAAAAACUGUUUCUGAAGAUGCUUAGAUGCAACGUGAGGUGCGGAAAAACAGCCGGGAUAUGACUACACAUAGUCAUCGACGGUUCAGCUUCUAAAAAUAGCAGUUGAUAUGAGUUUAGGUGAGUUGAUGUGAGAUGUUGAGAAAAUUACUGAUAUGGCUUUAUCAGUUUUUUUUUUAAACACUAAAGGUUUUAUCAGUUAAAUGUGUCAAUAUCUAUUUGAAUGAAAAUAUAAAAUAUUUUAAAAUCCGAAGCAAAGAGUACAACACUCGGAACGAAAUGGACCUGACGUUUUAUGGUAAAUCCGUUGACCCAAUUGAUGGUUAGGCUCUAACAAACUGAAUUGUGCUGAAUUUAGGAAAUCGUAUAUACAUACCAAUGACUUUAAAAUAUUAACUAGAGCUCCGCGCGGAUAUUUAUUUUUGGUUUGCAAAAAAAUAUAUUUAUCUUAUAUAUAUGGUAAUAUAUGUUUUUAAAUUUAUAUAUAUAUAUAUUAAAUAAUUUUAUUUAAUAUAUUUCUAAACACAAUCAUUUUAGAAUUUAUAAUGAAUAAUUUUAUUUUAUUUUUUGAUCCGUCAACUGUUAUAACCCUAUUUUUAAAAUAUAACUCGUGUGUUCGUGCAAAUGUAUUUUUUAUGGAUCAAAAUUUUAAUGUAAAAUAAAAUGGUUAUCUAUUUUUAUAUUUGAUUUAUAUGAUUAAAUAAUUCAAUAUAUUAUUUAAAAUUUUGUGGUUUAUAUUAUGUAUUUUUAUAACACUUUUAUGUUUUUUAGACGUAGUUAAUAUACCAAAAUAAAAAAUAACCACUCCGUAAUAAUAAAAUCUUGUUACAUUUUUGACAUUGAUUAAGUAUAAUUUAUUGUUUACCCAUAUUAUAGAAAAAAAAAUUAAAUAAAUAAAUAUAAUUUGUUAUACUUUAUUUUAAGAAAAUGCAUUAAUUAAACUAUAAAAAACAAAAAUACUAAAAAAUAGAUAAAUUUAUUACUUCAGUGGCAUUCAAAUGUAAAUAACUUUGAAAACUAAGGGGCAAUUUAUAUCGGUAGUUUUCUUUAAUAAUAGAGAAGUGAUCAUACGUCGACAUGUCCUAAACCGUAUGCUUCUUGUUCAUUGAAUUGUCCUCGACUUUAGGUUAUGACAUUUAUCUAUAAGACUACAACUGUGGUCUGUGUAUGUAUAUAUUAUACUUGUAAGUUUUAGAUCUGGAUUAGCAUUAUGGUGCGUGAGGUCAUACAUAACAUUACGUACGUAGCAGCAACGUUUUAAUUAUAGAAAACGUAUAAAUCGGCUCCACAUCUUCAUCAUCAUGUGACGACAUUGUUUCGGUUUCUUCACAACUAACAAUACGUACGUCAAUAGACUCAAUACCUAAGCCGCUCUAAUAUAUGAGGUUAUAUAUAUACUGUAUAUGUAUUAUUUUUAUUACUUUGUCUGUGAUGUGCUUUGCCUCUGCUGUUGCUGUCUGGCUGUGUUUGUGGGUGCUUAGGAGACCCGCUGUGAGCUGUUCUUGGCGAAGUCAAUCUUAAAGAGUAGAUUAUCGGGGAGGCCAAAAUUAUCGAGUUCUAGCUCUCGUAUUAACUGUAGCUUCGUCUUUUGCGGCAAGCGGUUCGUUUUUCUUCCGGUUAGUGGUUCGGUCUGUAGUGUCGAGUCUCUGUGAAGUCUAGAAUCGAGGUUCUGUUUGAAUUUAUGUUUAUGUUUAAUCUGCUUCUUGUCAUCCCUUGUAUUAUGUCAAAAAUGUUAAAAUCUGAUAAUAAUAUCUUUACAUUUUUACCAAAAAAAAAAAAAUUGUCUGCGAUGAAUACUUGGUAUUAAAUGCCAAAUUUCGUAACUGAGCAAAGAUAAACUCCAUCCGUUCCCGAAAGUAAGAUUUUUUAGAUUUUUUACUUGUUUAACAAAGAUAAAUUUUCUAUAUGUUUAAAGUAUUUUUUUUAUACUUUUAAGAAACACUAAAUGAAAAUAAUUGAAUUGAUUAAAUUUUAUUGGUGAAAAAUUAUUGGAAAGUGUAUAAUAAAGUAAAAGAAAAAUUAAAUUAUAAACAUUUAUUGAAUUUUUAAUAAACGUGAACACUUUAAAAAAAUCUUACUUUCGGGAACAGAGGGAGUAUAAUAGUAGUCAAUUUUAAAAUUAUAAAUUAUACUCCCUCUGUUCUUAAAAAUCCAUGUUAUAGUUUUUUCACACUUAUUAAGAAAACAUAUAAAUUUGUAUUUUUCAAUACAUUGUUUUUCUUAAUUAACUAUUUUCAAUAACUUUUAACCAAUGAGAUUUUAUUAAACACAAUUGUAUUUUUUGAAAAAUACAAUUUUUCACUAAUUAAUAUAUUGAAAAUGUAAAAAAUGUAUCGUUUUGAAACAUUUUUUUCUUAUAAAACAUGGAUCUUUUAAAAACGGAGAGAGUAUAUUUUAAGUAUAGUAUUUUUGAAACUAUAUGAAUAUUUAGUUAUAAUUUUUAAAAUGAUAGAUUUAUCAUGAAUUUUAAACCUUGUAAGAGAUUUCUGUUUGAAAUAAUAUAAUUUAUGUGUAAAGUUUGAAAAUUUCACUUGAUAACUUUACAACUGCCUUAAUUGCUAUCACUUGUCACCAC
rnacentral:lncRNA from 1 species